GCAAUUGAACGUAUAUUUCACCAUCAGCAAACCGCUUAAUGUUAAUCUUUCCAAGUUCCAGCCCCAUGUAACAGGCAAUUUCCUGAGAAGUAAAUAACUCACGUUUAGCAAACAAAGACUGGUCUCCAGAGAGAAAAAGAGAUUCAUAUUUGCAUGUUGCUCGGGAACUUUUCAAUAUAAACACUUUGAUGGCCAAAACUAUUCAGCCUUUUGAGUCACUUUAACCAAGUUCAGCCAACAAUGGUCCUCCAAGAGAAUGAAUACAAAAAAUAACGAGCAACCCCACAAGUUCAACAGAAUUACCUAGAAAAGAAUAUUGGUUGGAGACUAAACUGAACUCGCUGAAUUCCAACUUAAUAAUAUUAUCACCAUUAUGAACAUGUUAUGAUAUGCCUAAAUAAGCAAUAUUAAGCGUAAAAAUCAUUCAUAUCUAAACUAAACUAUUAAAUAGUAAAAGUAAAUCAAUAGAAAUGUAGAACGAAAGUCAAAAUCUAGCAAAUAAAGUUAUAAGGAAGAUAAAGUCAUUUGAUUAGACAAUAGCCAACGAAAAUUUCACUUCGACCAAACCAACAAAGAUAAGUAGGCUGGUCUUCCGUUGACCAAGACAUCAUUAUUAAAACCUUCAAACCCCUCCACGAAAACAAUAAUCAAACUAACUUAUCAAGAGAAAACCACCACAUAUCAUGUCAUCUUGAUGGCGAUUACUAAACAGUCAUUUGAAAAGUCAAAAUAUAACUUUCGUUCCAUUGUAGGGUAAAACCUUAAAAAAAAAAAAAAAAAAACGUUUCACAAGUACAAUAGAAGGAGCUUAACCUGAGAAAGUAAACGAUUUGCAGACCCAGAAAACAAUUUCAAACGUGUACUACUUCUAUUAACUCUGUUCUCCAUGCGAGCUGACUCCAAGAACUUGGGCAACGUCCGUUCAGUAACAAUUGGAAUUGUUGGUUUCCCGUUCACAUGCCUCAAAGACUCGGACAUAUCACAUCUCUGGAAAAGAAAAGAAAAAAAAAUUAAAACGAAACAUAAGAACGAAUGCAACAGAACCUUAACAGUGAAAACUUUUACCAGCAACAAAAUAUUUACACAGUCAGAAAAGUAAUAGCAACACAAUUCUUAGAACAACAGGGAAAGAGGAGGAAAACCCCCAAAACUUCCCAUCUCCAACAUUCAUCUUCGAACAUGACAAAACAUUACAUUCAACACUUAAAACUGUUUUAUCUAAUUUUUCCCCCAUCUAUCUUCUACACACAAAAAAAUCCCUUCAAAUCCUCUCGUGAACAAAAACCAAUCAACAGAAUCUCAAAAAAAAAAAAAAAAAAGAACGAAUCAUCCGCAUUGCAUCAUUCAUGAACCACAACAACAAACAAAAACAAGAUAAAAGAAUCUCCAAAACAAAUAACAGAAAAAAAAUCAAAGGAAGAAGCAUACAACUCCACCAUUGGAAGACAUUCGAAUGCGAGACUCAUUCGGAACAAAACAACCAUGGUCAAGGGACCAACAGAGAACAAAGACGACGACAAGGACGAAGAAGAAGACGGCAGAGUCAACGCAGCCAUAGAAUAGAAGCUCUUUUUCUGAUUGAAGGAGCAAAAGCAGGGUAGGGUUAAGCCCUCCAAGAAGACAAAAAUUGAGAGAAGAUUGAGGAGGAAAUGACGAAGAACAGCAUUGUGAGCUUCUUAUAUAUAUACACACAUCAAUGGCGGUAGUGCACAAAACUUUUAACAUUUAUUUAUUUAAAUCCCUAAUUACGAAAUUUAAGUUUUUAAUUGGGAGAGAAAAUGAGUCACAUCAAGCACCUGAUACGUCGUCGUUCGACGCAAGGUUAUUCGCUUUAGAAGGGGGGCUGUUUGGCUGCGGAUUUGUGGGAGUGUGGGUCCGGUGAAAGAAAAGAAAAGAGAAAACGAAAAAAAGGAAUCUAAAUUAAAAGGACAUUUUAUAAUCUAAAAUUUUCUCUCUUUGGAAAAUAAAUAUUUGAAAGUCCACAAAGAAAUUAAUGUUCCUCAUUCUAUUAUGAGACGAAAUUAAAAGGUCUUUCUUAUCUUUCUUUUUUUUUUUCAUUUUAAUAAAUAUUGCCAAAGUUAUUUACGGCGUAUAACAAAAUAAGAAAACCUACCAUAUUGAUCGUUUAUGCACGAUCUUAAAUAAAAAUUGUUGGAAUAUUGGUAUAUAUACCACUAAAUCUAACAAAUAAAAAAAAAUCGUGUUGCGAAAUCUAAAUGAUCUUGUAGCCAAAUUAACAAAGAAUCUAGACGCGUGAGUGGUCAUUUAAUUGUGUGUUGACCAUGACAUUUUUGUUAUUUUUCAUUAUGGUGUUUUCCAUAUUAAGUAUAUGUUUUUUCCGUUUUCAAAAUUACUCUAUAAAUAUUUUGGAGCUUUGUUAUAUUUUAAAAAAAAUCUUUUUUUAGUUGUUUUCUAAUAUAUAUGUGUUUGGUUCUUAAAUAAUAAGUUUAAAGGGUCUAUAAAAUAUUUACAUCAUUUUUAAAUAAUUGUUCGAGAUUAAAAUUAUAAAUUAAAAAAUCUUUUUUAAAAAAUACUUUAUGGAUCUUUGAAACUUAUUCUAAAAAAAUUACAGGUGUUUUAUUAGGACAUUGAGUUUGGUUAUAAAAUCAUGCGUUAAUGUAUUGAAAUUAGAAAGUUUGACUUUUGAGUAUAAGUUAAAGUUGUAAGAUGGAGUGUAUCGAUAAACACGUUGUCCUAUAAGAAUAACCAAGUUUUAUAUAAACUGACUUAGACAAUCACUGAUGUACGAACGUAUGUAUGUGUGUGAAAGUACAUAAACAUUACAAAUGUAAGUAAGGGGAAAAGGACAAGGAAAUAAAAUGGAGUAGAGAGUUAUCUAUGGGGAGAUGACAAUGAAAGUCCAAUAUUCCAACUAGGGUUUCACAUUACUUUAUUUGAAAACAACAUUUAUAAUGAAAUCUCAAAAGAGAAAACAAAAACAAAGAAAAUAUUUUAAAUGAUAUUUUAUUUCUUAGGGAGGAAAGUGUGUAAGUUCACUUUAUCAAUAGUCAUGGGUCAAUAACAAAAAUAUAAAGUAUAACGGUAUCGAUAUCCUUAAGAGUAAAAUGAAUUCAAAAAUUCUCCUUAAAAUGACAAAUCGUCAUAUUUAUCUGUCUUCAUUUUAUCAUAGUAGUUUAUCUAUGUUUACGGGUCAAUCGUAGAUAGAUUGUGAUAUUUUGGUUCAUUUUAUUAUAUUUGAAAAUAACCCUAAGUAAUAUUGUCGUUAAUAAACGUAAUUAAUACAUAGUAUUUUAUCUAUUACGUGAAUGAUUAGUUCGUAUUGGAUAAGAUAUCAAUUAACAUCAUUAUGAUCAAUGUUUUGAUUUUUCAUCGUUAAAUUGUUAAACUUAAAAAAUAGAAAGAAGAAAGUUUAGUUAUAGUUUUCAAAGUAUGUAAAAUGUAUAUGAAUUUUGAAUGUUGUAAUGUUUGUGUUUAAUAAUUAAUAGGUCAUUCAAUUUUACAUGUCUUGAAUUAAGUUAAUGGUUUGCUAAAUUAAACCUAAAAUUAAUUUAUUUGCUACAAAGUUAAAACUUUUUUUAAUUGUUUAUUGAAUACUAUUCAAAAUUUAAAUAUCUAGUGAAGAUAAAUAAAAAUUUAAUUGACUUAUUCAUUCUAAAAUUAGGAACUAAAUAUACAAAAUUAUCAAAAUUUAGCAAAGUAAAUAUAUAUAUAUAUACAUAUCUUAUCUUAAUUCCAUUUGAGUACAAUUAAGUUUAUUUUUCUUCACCUUCCUUCACGUGUAAUUAAAUAGUAUAUUAAAUUUACUUUACAUUAAGCAUAUAUAUAUUAUUAAAUGGUCAAAUAAUUUCCUAAAAAAAAUAUUGAUUGGAUCUCAUCAUCCGAGGUCAAAAUACACGAAAAGACCACAAAAAUAAGAAAAACGAAGCGACAAAAUCUAAACUAAGCAAUAAAGCAACAGUACACAAUAAAGGAAAAAGAUACGGAGAAGAAAAGGCUAAUUGGGUCUCUAUAAAACAAGUCUCAAACCACGUAAAACAGUUAAAUCUCAAAUCGAACAUUCAAGUAAACAACGUUAAAUAACAAGAGACCAUGUAAAUCUUCAAAUCUUACAUCUUAGCCAAUUAUGUACACUAUAAUGACAAAUACAAUUCAAUCAAACUUCGAAUAAUGUAUUAAUCAAAUUCAACCAAUUAUGAAAAAUUAAUCAGUUAAAUUUGAUAAAUGAUAUUAUUUUUGAAUUGAAAAUUUUGCAAUUUUUUAAAUAGGUUACUCAGAUACUUAAUAAAUGUAAAUUGGGUAAUCGUCAAUACCCAUUGAUGCACUCUAACUUUAUUUAAUUGUAAGAUAAACACUAUAAUUAAUCAAGUAUUAUAGUAAUAAAGAUGUAGUGAUUUAGUCACAUUGGUUAAUGAGACUAAUGGUCAAUAAAAAUAGUAUAAAAGAACAAAUAUAAAAUACACAUUUGGAGGAUAGCUUAUAUCAUCCACUAUAUACUAUAUAGUAUAUAUCCUUUUAGAUCUAAAGUUAAAUUGAACCUUUUUCUCUUUCUAAGAGAAUGGAUAAGUUUGAAUUGGUAGGCACCAAUUGUUUGAUCACUCUAACUUCUAAGUAACAACCACAAUUAUUAUUAUUAUUAUUAUCUCGUUAAAAUAUAUCGUUAUACUUUUAAAUGUUUAAUUUUAGUUCUUCAAAUUUUUAAUAAAUCUUAAAUUUAGUAGGUAAGGUAAGUUUUGUAAAUGUUUUAUUUUCUGUUUUUUUUAUUUUUAUUGAUAAAGUAUACAAAUUAAAUUAAAUUAUAAAAGAAAAGGAAUAGAAAAGGAGAGGAGGAAAAGAAAAGUAUUGGGAAGUUGAAUUUAAAACGUUACGUUUAUUUAUUUACAUACAUUUAAUAAGUAGAAAAGGUCAAGGAAAACGUUUGAAAUUUAAUUAUUUAAGAGCAUGCGUUAUGGCCGUGAAAAACGGAGUGAAUUGGAUUGUCCAUUUUUCAUACCUCAUUAUUAUUCAUUAUUCAUAAGUCACCAAAAUAUGUUUAAUUUUAAAUUGAGUUUUUUUUGGUUCAAUUACAUAUACCCACGUAAGCAUUUUGUAUUUUUCUUUCUUUCCAUGAAACUUUGAUAAAUUCUUGACUUCAUCAUUCUCAUCCCUUUCCCAUCCUCAAAACGGUUGGCAUUCUUAUCUCUUUCUCUUUUCUUCUUCUCACUAUCUCUUCCUUCCUUCCUUCUCACAUUCCCAUUCUUAUCCCUCUUUUCUAUUUUUCUAUUUUCGUUUAUUCGUAAGUGUUCGAAACAACUUACACCCUACUUAAUCUCACAAUAUUUAACUGUUAAUAAAACAUGUCAGAUCAGUUGUAGGUGACUAUCAUUGAACUUAUGAACUUUUAAUCUUUUAUCAAAGGCGUACCUCAUUUUAUUUACUGUUAGGCUAAUUCAUAAUGAUUUGUUAAAAAAUAUGGUGAUUUUUAGAAUAUGGUGUCAACAUGUUGUGAUGAUGUGAACAUGAAUAGUAUGAUUCAAUCGACACGAAGUUCUCUCUUACAUAUUGUUAAAAGAAAGGAAAAGAUACACAUACACGUUCUAUUCGACACCUAAAAUGUUAUAAAGUCAAACAGGUUGUUUGAUGGGAUUAAAUGCACGUAAGCUAACUUAAACACUCAUGGACUUAAUAUAAAAAGUUUAUAACCUAAGUGAAUUGUUUUGAUGAUAGAAAACGGUUACCUACUAUCAUUGUUUAGUCUUUAAGAAGGAAAAAGUUUGUGGAAGCUUAAAUAGUAUAAGGAUUUAGUCCAUAUGAGUUAAAUAUUUGCACAUAUGAGUAAUUGGCAGUUGCUAGAAGUGAUCCAUCUAACAUAAAUUUCUUUUAAAAGAACUACAUAUAGUUUGGAAAGAGUUUUUUUCUUUCUCUUGUGCAAUUUUACCAAUACACCCUCUUGCUCAUUAAAUGUAUUAUUAUACUUGAUUAUUCGCACGUAAACUUUACCAAAUAACGACAAAAAUUAACUCUUAGAAUCAUUCACAGUUAGAUACUUUUGUCAACGAACAAGCAUCAACCAUGAACCCCAGAAUUCAUUCUUAAUUAGAUAGUUGAUGUUAACAAAUUGACAAUUAAAAACCACACAACAAAAAUGUAAUACGUAGCUCACUAACCAUGUGUUAGUUUUGUCUUCAACAAAGAAAAUAACAAUAAACCAUACAUUAUCUUUUUAACAACGUAUUUCAAUAACCUACACCAAACAUAUAUUAUUCAACUCAGCACCCUUAAAAUGUGUUUCUUUCUUAGAAACUCCGAGAAAAGAAAAGACUUCGAAGUGUUUGACAAUGGCGUUUACAUUGGGUCAAUGCCAAUAAAAGCACAUUGAAAAUGUUUUGACAAUCAAAAUUGGUAUAGAAAAACUCUUAAAGGACAUUUUAGUUAAUGUCAUUCAAUAGAUAUUUAUAGAUUGCCUAGAAAAUAUCUUACAACAAAAGCAAUGACGAAAAUGUUCGCUGAUAUAUGAAUAUAUAUUGAUAUAAUCAAAAAGUUCAAUAUCCCUCGCAUCUUUAUAAAUGUUCAUAAAACAUUAAAAAAAAAAUGUUAUCUAAGUUACUAAUCUAAAUAAUUUUGUGACUUAUCUUCGAUAUCAAUAUAUCCUGAAUUUGAUAUCGAUAUGACACGGUAUUUUAAUCCAUGGUUGAAAGCACUGAACACACAAACCAAAAUUGGUUCUUCAUUGAUUGAUCCAAUUGGGAUUCAUCAGUUUCACACUUUACAAUUGGUAAAUGAAUGUCUGCAUCAAUUUAAAAGAAAAAACAAAACAAAACAUGCAAAAUUCAAUCAAUGGAUUAGCGAAAAUCAAACCAAAUGAUUGCAAAUUUGCAAUAUGGCCCUAAAUUUUGAUCAUAUACGAUUAUGCAACAAAGGAAAAUAAAUUCUUACAAAGGGAUCUAAGAUGGGAAAACAAAUUCAUACAAGUAUCUAAGAUGGAGAAAAUAAAUUGUUACAAGGAUCUACAAAAGUGAGAAUUUAAAAUAUAUCAUCACUCUGUUCAGCCAAAAAUCAAAAUGAUAUAUGGAUAUGUGUCAAUUCAUUAAUUUCAUUUCACAUGGUCAGCAUCGCAGUUAAUAAGAUUUCAAAUGCAGGAAACAAUUAGGUUAAUGAGCGGAAAUCGAUGAAUUGAAUGGGGUUAAACAAAUGAAAUUGAGACAACAGAUACAUAUAUAGUACCAUUCCUAUAGCCAAGGACAAGAAGGAAAAAGAUUAGGGUAUUUACUCUUAUGGCCUUAUCUUUACAUGUUUUGGAAGGACAGAAUUGCUAGUCCACAUCUUUCGGUUGAGGAAGAGAUUCGCUCUCCUGGGAGAGAAACAAUUGAACAUAAGAAAUCGAGUCAACAAAUUACCAUAGAACAAAACAAGGCAAUCCCUCAACCUGAGGGGAAAAAGGUCGGAGAAGUCGAACCUCUUGAGGGUGUUGGAAUUGAGAGAGAGAUUUCAGCUGGGAGCUUUCCAUGUUUGUAAGUAAUUGCACCACAGUUUGCAAACGAGGAAUGCUGCAAAUAAUGGGAAAUAAGUAAAUCAAGACAGAAGCCAAAUUGAUCAGUAGACAGAACAGAACGGAGGAUAGAGUAAAAGUAGAAGCAACUUUUACUAGACAUACCAAAGGGCAAGAACAGAGUAAUAAUUCAGAGUUCAGAUAAUAUAGUGAAAAAUAUCUGUCCAAUGGAUUAUCUAGAAUGUCAUCAGGCGUCAUCCAUUGAUAUCAAUUCCUUUGGGCCAACAAAAAUUAUGCCAACAGUGACUAAAGUAUCAAGAAAAUAUUGUUUUAAGACGAAAUAUGUAGGAAUUUUUUUCCCUUGAAAGUAGUUUUAUUGGCAAUAGCAGAAUCCUAGCACUCUGAAGGCAGCUUAGGAAGUGCGUUUAAAAGGGUUAAAUUAACUCUUGUCAAGUUCAAAAAUCACUUCAAAUCAUGCUCUUAACUACAGAAAAUUAAUUUACUCAAACACUGUUCUCCUAAUCUAAUCGAGGAAAAGGGUGAUAGCAACCUAACCCUUCCCUUUCAGAAACAGAAGACCAAUCAAUACCACGAACAAAGAGCUCAGGAGUCUCCUUUGAACUAUAGAGGUUAAAAAGAACCUUCUCCUCAAUAUCCUACUCUUUCUAAACAAUCUCCCUGCUAUCACUUUGCAUAAAGCCAACGGUCUUACUUUUCCUACCACUAGUCAUCCAAGAAAGAAAGAUUGAGUUCCAAUCCCCUCCUUUAGCCAAAAUGGCAUUCUUAGCCUUCUGCCUUCAGCUGCUGGUCUCUUUCCUGAUUAAUUCAACAAAUUCCACCAUCAAAGUCUCUCUUCCUCUUUCAGAGAAUCAUCAAGCCUCCCCUCCCGUCUCAGACGUAUCAAUUUCAACAUGAAAGUUCUUUAAUAUAAAUAUAUCACUGGAAAACAAAGCAUUUACUUAUGCACUUCAAUAACUGUCAUCAAAUCUAACGAAAAUCAUUGGUUUCUUCACCAAAGAAAUAACCCAUGUGCUUUAUACAUUUAAACAUAGAAAUAGAACUAAUUCCACCAAUGCAUGUUCAAGGUAAAAAAGGAACCUUUCUAGUCCCUUCUCAACAUAUGCAUCUAAUGAUGAAACCACCUGCGGCAUCUGCUCUAAGAUCUGCAUCACAAGAAGAGAAGUGAAAGUACUAUCAGAAGUAUUAUUGAUAAGAAAUAAAUAAACGAAAGAAGAACAUGCUGAAGUUAUUAACUGAUGCUACAUACUUUCCCAGUAUUUUUCAUAGUAGAUGCUUUAGCCAAAAGAUUCUUUGGCAACUUUGUUAACUGAGCCUGCAGACAAGACAGAACCGAAAAUCUGAAAGCAAUGCAAUAGCAAAAAAUCUCAAACAAAAUAGCACUUCAGCAAUAUGACUAAAACUUCCAAGAGUUGAAUCCAUCUAAAAAUCAGAGGUAACUUUCACUUCAAUUGUCCAAGGUAGUGAAAACUUGAAAUUAUGACUUCGAUGCAAACAAUUCAAGCACAGUCAAAGUUCGUACAAUAUUACACAAUUUUCCUCGAAACAUAACGUGAUUUCUCAAUUAACUGAAGCUAGAAAAUGGAAAAAGAUACAAAACGAACAAUUAAGAUUUGGAAAUUCAAUCAUCUAUUCAUAUGAUCAAGAUCAUCAUCAAACCGUUCGAAUGAACUCGUGAAGCUUCAGAAAACACAAACGAGAGAGAGAGAGAGAGAGAGGAUGCCUGAGCUGAAGACGAUUGCUGCAUUAGAUGAAGGAGAUUUGACGUGGAUCGUACAGACUGAGAAAUGUGGUCGGCAACCAUGGCUUUUGCUGUUCCAUCCCUGUUGCUUCGACCUGAUGGGAAGCUGUCGCCAUUGUUGCGUCGCCUGAAGCUUCUUCCGACGGAAAGCAGAUUUGCCAUUUCUUGGAUUGCUCGGCCCAUGAAAAGAAUCAUGCCUUGGGCCUUAACAAAACCUUGAGCCCAAUUCUUUCGGCCACUGCUCGAUAGAAAUAGUUUGGAUAUUUUGCUUUUUUUUAUUAUUAUUUUUUAUUUUAUUUAAAUAAUACUAAAAAAAGCUUUAUUUAGGGUUAUAGUUUUAGAUUUAUAACAAAAAAAAAAAAAUAAGCUUUAGAUUCAAGCAAAUUUCAAAAUAAACAUUUUUAGUCCAUGAAAUUUGAAUAAUGGUUUUAAAUGGUCUCUAAACUCAUUCGUUUUUAGAUUUAUAAUUUCGUUGAAACUUAAUAAAAAGAAAAAAAACAUGUAAUAAUUUAUAUUUUUUAGUACAACAAUCGUAGAGUCGAACAUUCUACCUCUAAGAUAGAAGGUCGGGUUAAUUAUCACUUACUUUAGCUCACUUUGAUAAUACUAUUACCAAAAAUUUUAAUAGUUUAAAAUAGCUUGAAGUAGUUAGAACGAUAGAUAUUACAACUACCUUGUGUUAAAAAAAUUUAUUUGUGACGUUAUAAAACCAUCUAAUUUUCAAAUAAUUAAAAAACAUAAUGUAUAGUCUACACAAUACACAGAUAACAUUAGUCUAACUUGCAUUUAUAUGUUAAAAAAGUUACAAAUGACAUUAGUCUAAUUUGCAUUUAUAUGUUAAAAAAAUUACAAAUGGAAUUUGUAUACAAGACACGUAAUAGUGAUUGAAAAAAUGUUAUGAUCGUUUUUAUCAUGUCUAGAAUCACUCAAAAUUAUUUUAAUAUUUAGUACUUUUACACUUAUAAACAUAAGUUUCUUACGUCAAAAUUGACUUUCGAUUAAAAACAAUCUUAAAAAUAACAAAAGUGAUUUCAACCAUUUCAUAAUCACUAUCGUGGCAUGUAAACCGACGAAAAACUAGUGAUUGAUAAACCUACAAUUCCUUCUUACUUCACCUUCAUGAGAAGUGAGAACAUUGAUAUUCCCCAUCUUAACAAUGGACUUAACAAAUGAAUCAAAGAAAAGGGUUUGAUCAGAAGCAUAGCUCCUAACUUGUGUUCUAAUUUCACCUUCAUAAUCUUGGGUUAUGAGCACAUCAUCAGACCCUAAGAGCCCUUUGCCUUCAAGAAUGUUGAGGAAGUAAUGGUUGUCAAAUCUUGCUGGUGUCCUAAAAUCUAAGGGUGCAACCCUUUGAUCUUGUCCUGUUAUAGGGCAAAUUGACCUUAGAGUUCUUUUAUAUGUAUUGUAUCUCUUGUAUCUAUCUUCUUCUUCUUCUCCUCCAUUCAUUUCAUAUACUCUUUGUCUAAAACUCAAGCAUCUUGCUUUCCCAAUGGUGUGGCUUCCUUUUCACAGUAAAACACUUGUAGAUGUUAGUGAAUGAAACAAUUAUAUUGGUUUAUCGAUUUUUUAGGUUAAGAAACACUUUGUUGUAAAAAUUUCAAAACUAAUUGUGAAGUAGAAAUCAAUUAGAAUGUUGAAUGGAAAAUGGUUCAUAGAACAAUGUGGGGAUGUGUGGAAAUUGGGAUAGCCACUUUGUUUCAUGUAAUGCAAAACUUUUAUACAACAUUCUAAGGAACUUAAAUAUGAAUAUUUUUUAAACAAGAGAUAAAUUUAGGCAUCUAUAUCAUGGGUGUAUUGAAGCAUAAUUUUGGUUGAAAAGUAUAAUGAAAAUUAAAGAUUAGAACGAUGAUCAUGAAACUAUUAUAUAUAAGUUCUUUGAUUGACUAAAAAAUGACUUAUGUUCAAAAUUAAAUACAUGAAAAAAGUUGAACAAAACAGGUCUUGACCUACCUGAUAGAGCAACCAAGUCUUGAAUGUUGAGGCCUUGUUGUUGAAAGUUGGCAAUUAAGGUCUCAAGGGAAGAAUUGGGAGAAGGAAUGUAUUUGUUGGCACCAUCAAAGCUUGCUUUCAAGGAGUCUUUCCUUCCCAAUGACACUGCCCAUUCGGGUCCUCCUCUCUUUCCACAAAGUAAAAAUAAAAAAUAAACUUAGUAUCAUAUCAUACUAAACUUCAAAGAAUGUUUUAAAUUUAUAUUUCAUCAACGCCUAUGAUAUUGUAUUAAAGUCGAAAAACAUGUGUUAAAACUUCAAAACGUAGCAUUGACAAUGUACUAAGCUAAUUUUAAGUCCAUGUUUAAGAAGAUGCUUAUGAAUAUAGUACAAAGAUAAUUUAAUUUAUGCUAACAUAUUAACAUAAGAUAUUGACUUUAAUUUUAGGGAGAGAAAAAAAUAAUGUAUUCUAAAAUGAAAUUAAAUGAAGAGAGAUUAGUACGAGCACAACAGCAUCACGAGCAGCAAUGGUCAAAAUAUCAGAACAAGACACUGUGUAAGGACAAGCUUCUUCCAAUAUGUAUUUUAUCUUAUCGAUAACACUGAAACCACGAAGAGAGUUUAAAUUUGGAGUCGCUUGCUUUUCGCUCACCAUCUCGGCAGUGUUGUCUAAAAGAACCGAUGCAUCACAUCCCUAUUUUAUCAAUGAAGAUUUACUGUAUCUCUUAUAAAGAAGUUUACAACAAAAAGAAAAAUAUUUAUGGAAACGAGAUAGAUAUACCAAAACAAAGCAAUCAUGAAAAUGCAAUCGAAGGAGAGAAGCAGCCAUUCGGAUCUCUGAGCACAACAAUCUCAACUUGUCGUCGAACAAUAUCUUCGACAAAAGGGCAUGUUUCUUUGUAAUAGUCAAAAACCAAAAGUCCUUCCCCUGAACUUCCAAUUCCAUGCAAAACAACACCAAAUAUUACCACCACCAAUAUCUUCAAAAUCCCCAUUGAAUUUUGAUAGUGAAGUUUUGAAGAUGAAAGACAAAGGAAAGCUCCACAGUAGUUUUCUUUAUAGUAAAAAUUGUACCAUUUUUUCCCUUAAAAAUUUCCCAUUUGAAGAUUUUGAUCAAAGUUGAUACAACAAACUCUACCCAACCUCACCUAUUUUGCAACCUUUUAUACAUCCUUCUUCUCAAGCCCUCCCAUUUUACCAUAAUAAGAAUGCAAGCUAGUCUUCUUGAUCAAGAUAUUAAUUAAACUUGUAAUCAAGAAAAGAAAAAAGAGAGAAAAAUUGGUUUCAAGUAAAGCAUUAAUUGAUUAAUGCUGAUUGUAUCUACAAAUUAGAUAGUCAAAGGCAAUGGUUUAGUUACAUUUAUAUCAAAACAAACACAAGUUUCAAAAGUCAAAACCACUAGUUUGAGAUAACAAAGUUCCUAACAUCAACAUCCAAACUUUAAGGCCGACUCAAACUCUUGUAAAUAGCUAAAGCAAAAAAGGGUGGUUCAACUCCUCAUUCUUUGUACACAGAACAAAGCAGAAACAAAGCAACAAAAGUUGGCACAACAGAAAAAUGGAAACACUAGCAGUUAUCGAAUAAGUAUUCGGUCAUCCAUUGAAGUCGAGAGGACUCAAGGAGAGCAGAGGCCUAGCAUGACUCAUAAUAACAUUUCAUAUUUACUUUGGAUUGAACUCACAAUUAAAAGUAACUUCCAGCAAGCAGUUUUUCCACAAUUGAGAUGGAGCUUACAAUCAUUUUCCUUGGUCCUAUACUGACCCAUUCCAUCUUGAACAAAAGGACAAAUCCAAAUGUAGAAGAAUGGUUUCACACAAAAAUAGUCACAACUUUUUUUUUUCUGAAAAGUUAAGGUUACACAAGUAAAGCCUCUGGAAAAACCUCUUGGUUAUACACAAGUGAACACAAGCGGGCACAAGCAUUCGGACCCGCUAAAACACUACAGUGGAGUGAGAAACAAAUAGUACAAGGCAUACUUUUAUCACAUGAUUGUGCAGCGGCUCUUUUCUUCGGCUGGCUGAGGAGCAACUUGCUGAAACCUGUGAGACUCAGAUGGGUUGUACGUGAACUCCGAAGUAUCCAGCCCAUACUGUUUCAAAAAUAAAAAGAACAAAGUCAGAAUGGAAAAAAAUUGUGAAAAGAACAUGCCAUCAGAUCAUAUAUGAAGUAGUUCAUGGUCCGGGACAAAGCUUCCAUGCAAAUCUCCAAUUAAGAGCUGUGUUGUAUAAAACUCAAUGUGAACCAAUGACGACAUCCAAAUUAGAAUCAAAAGGUCAAGGGUUUAUCAGUAUAGUAGGUAGGCAAAAAGAUGCCACUUAAGAUUCUUGGGGAAACAAAAAGACUAUUUAACAAUGAAAUUUCCCUCGUCUGACAUAUUUAUACCGACUUCAAAAGGAAUCUCCCAACAUAAAUACACACUAUGAUAAAGUGUCAUGAGAAGUCCUAGUAUCUGAAAAGAAAGAUAUUUGAGUGGCUAGAAAUAUUAUUAGGGAAUUAAAGACAAUAAUACUUAGCCAAGGAGUUUGUUAGUGGGAGUUGACUAAAUAGAAUGAGUGAGAGGAGUAGAAGGUAGGCAAUUGUUUAGUGGGUUAAAGUGAGAAGGUCUAAAUAUCACGAAUUUCCUCUAUAUUUUAGCUAUUUGAUUAAUAUCAGGAUCAAUUUCUUAUCCUAUAGUAAAUGAAAGAAUAGAAAGAAAGGAAAAUUUGUCGUUGACUUGUAUAUCUUUACAUUGUCAUUAUUUUCAGUGGGAAAAUUCAACGUUGAGAAGGUUAUACCUUUUCCCUCAUUCGUGUACUCCAAGCAUCAUUUCGACUUGGUCGUUGAUCAAGUGUCCCAGCAACAGGCACACCUGUUGCUGGAGCAACGGGCCUAUUGAUCAACGGUUGUCGGAUUUGUUGCCUUGGAGCAAUGUAUUCAUCAUCACUGUCAUAGUCUACAGGUCUGUUUGCUGCACGAACCACAAGAGCCAACAAGAAAAGGAGAGCCUGCAAAUACAAUGAAACAGUAAUUUUUUUGGUUAAGAAACAAAAGGAUGAUGUUCGAAAAAGAGCAAGAUCGACCUAUGGACAGAGGUAGAGGGCACACUGAAACAAAAACUAUGAGAGCCUUCCGAUCAUUGUCACUGACGAAUUAAAAGGUUGUAUUUACAAAAGAAAUUUGUGUAAAGAAAUCUAUCAAGACAUUGUAUUAUUACAAAGUGGAACUUUUGUUCUCAUUGGGAGAGAAAAAAAAGGAGAUAUAAUCAGUGCAAGCAAUAAAAGGGAAUUCGUAGCUAUGUGGCUUAGGGAAAACUAAAAAGCUUACAGUUAUUAAAUCAAUUAGGAGAAAAACGGAAGUAAACCCAACUAUGUUGAAGCAACAUUUCAAGUAUUACAAGUUGUGAGUUCUCUUGUGAUCAACACAACAAAUAUUAUCAUUGGUGUAAAAGUAAAAUGAAUUAAUACGAAAUCAUAAAUUGGAAUUAAAAACCCGACCAAUCACAUAUGUUAAACUCAUCCUGAAAAAAAAAAUCCUCUAAACCAAAAUUCACAAGACAAAGAAAUGGAUCUCUAAAAUUUAAUGAAGGGUGUAAAAGUACACAUUGUUGGUGAGAGAAUUUCAGUAAAGAGUAGAUAACUAAAAAGAAUAAAAUAAGAUUAAACCCAGAUCAUAAAAAGAACAAGAAUUUCAAACGUCAUUUGAAUCUAAAAACAUAAAUGAACCAUCUUAUUGAGAUUAGCACAUUGAUUAUUGCUACAUAUCCAUUCAAUAAUUAAAUCAAAGUUUUCUAAUGAUAUAUUCUAUUAAUCAUUAUAUCAAGGGAAGAUAUCAAAUUAUAUUGAUAAACUUUAGGAGUUGUAUUAAUAAAAAACAUUACAUUUGUUUGAAAAAACAACGUGUGAUACUUAAUUGUAUUAAUAAAACCCCCAAACUUUCGUUAGUGAAUCAACUAAAAUGCUUAGUUUGGAUUUCUCUUUAGAAGUAUCCAUGCUUCAAUUAUAAUUGUCCAUUUUGUAAAACCAACAUUUGGAGAAGUUUACACGUGUGAAAAUUAAUGGAACGACGAUUUUCAAAGGUAGUCAUAAUGAAAAAUCUAAAUUGACUCGAAUUUGAAAUUUCAAGAUUUUGAUAGCUAAAAGUUCUAAGAUUCAUACAGUGUUUUUCAAACAAAACCUAAAGGUUGUAAAUUGAUACACUUACAAAAGUUCAGGGAUAAUCAACAUUUCUGCUAUGUUAGCCCUCUUAGUUAUGGGGUUAGAGCAUCGCUUAGUUAAGAGGUUAGAUCAUCACUAGGCUCUUUUACCCAACGAUGUCUGCCAUCAUGCUAGUCUAAGAUUCAAACACUCCAAAAAGGGGUUCACGUACCUCAAAAAUUAUAGUUCCUAGUGCAACCCAUCUGAUGAUUUCCCACUUGCUUUCCAGAAGUUCAUAGAUCUUAUCAAAGUUUCCUGUUCUGUCCCCAGGAAUUUCCUUCAGGAUAAGAAAACAGAGCAUAAGAAAAUAAACUUAUAUGUUAAAUUUUAGUUUGUGAACAAAUACUCACAUCUCUCCAAUUUUUGUCAAAGAAUAUGAAGGCACCACAUCCUAGUUGAACCAAAAUCAGUAGAAGCAAUAAAAUCGAAUACUGUGAUCGUUAAGGAUAUGGUAAUUUAAAACUCAAAUGACAACAGAUAUCAAACCUUUUAGAUUCAACUUUAUUUGUUAUCAUUAACAUGUAUUAUAUUUAGUAUCACCAUCUUAUUUCUAUGAAUAGUGUAAUUAUCCGAAUACCAACAAGUUGUUCCCUGGUGGCCUAAUUGUUUCAUCAAUAAUUGAUAAAUCAAACAACAAUCCAGACAUGCAGGCAAAUAGGAUACACAACUUAAACAGCAUCCACUACGUGUUGCAGCUCCAAUACAGCCAAAACAAGAGACAACAAAGAUAGUGACUCCCGUAGCAAUGAACAAAUAUAUGAACCUGCAAAAGAAUUAAAAUAAAAGAAACAGAUUAAUCAGAUUAAAAAAUAUUCAUAUUAUUUUAUCAUCUAUGGCUGCUAAAAUGUACUGACUGACAAUAUGAAUUUGCUUGUGUUUGAAGAUUGAGGGAAUGGAGUCCUUUCAGAUUAAAAAUUUGUUUUUUUUUUUAAACAGAGACAAGCCUUUUCUAUUAUUACAAAAAGAAGGAGAAGAAGAAGAAGAGGCAAAGAUGUCACAACUCACAUCCAAUUCUUUUGAUAUGGCAUACCAUCAUUUUACAACGAGAUAUCUUAUAUUCUCAACAAUACUUAAUGCAAUGUACUGCAGAUCAAUUUGUACACCAGUUCCAAUAUAUAGCGGAGACUGUCAAUAAACUGGCUUGAGUUUCCAAGAAAUUAAGCAACAAGAAUAGUGGUUGAAAAUUUAUAACAUUACCGGUUAGCAAUUCCUAUUCAAUAUCUACAAUAAAGAAAAUCUCUAAGUUGAUUGUAAAUCACUGACAGUGUUUUAAAAGACUCAAGGCGUACUAAGGCGCAAUGGCCCUCUGGAGUCUAGGUGCAAGGUGCACAAAAAGGCACAGGUUUUUUUUCAUGAGGCGCACUAUAUAUAAAGAAUAUAUGUGUGUGUGUGUGUGUAUAUGUAUAUAUAUGUAUGUAUGUAUGUAUAUGUUGUAUCUACAAAAUUGAAAGGAGCAACAAUGUAUAAACUAUAAGUAUAUAACUAUGGUAAAAAUGAGACGAAGAGUUGGGAACGUAAAGUUGGGAUGUUUCUUAACUCAAAAGACAUGUAAUUAGGUUAUAUAUAUAUAUAUAUAUUAAAGCCCAGCCCACAACUGAGUGAAAAGCUCGCGCCUCAAGAGCCUUUGGCACCUUUGCACCUCAUGUAAGUCGCGCGCCAAAUGCACAACGCCUCGCCUGUUCAAGGAGAAGCCCAAGCCGUGCGACUUGGGCCUAGGCACGCGUCUGGCCGCACCUUUCAAAACACUGUUCACUGAUACACUUAAAUUGUGUCUGCUGUCAAAAAUUAUAGCGGACAACCAUAUCCUAUGCUCAUUUUUAUUUAUAAAUUUUAUAAAUGUAUGUGAGCAUUCGAACCAGUUGGCCCACUAAAAACCCUAUCAAUACUUCUCUUCUUUAACUCGUGUAAGUAUGUUAUGUGAUUGUAGUCUUGAAGAGAUUUUAUGGAUUUGGUUCUUUCUGGGGCAAAAAAAAACACAGUUCCUGAAUUGGAAGGAGUUAUCCAUGCUAUAAUCAUCAGCUCAACCUGAGGGAUAAAGCAGUAUUGUGGAAUGUGUGGGAAAUCCAUAAUUUUUAAAUCGUCAAUGAGUGGAACCCUAAUUCAGUUACUUCAUAAACUCACCACAGCGUUGGUUCAUGUUACUUGAUCCUUCAGGUUCAUGGUCUGUUUGUUUUUUUUACCUUUUCUUUUUUAAAAGGUUAUCCUAUUCUUACACCAGAAAUUGGGGAGGGUGAAGAUGGGGCUCCGGGGCUCAUGGCCACUAAACCAAUGAUUUAUGAAGCUCAAUCAUGCCCUUCGUAACUUUCCAGAAUAUUUUGCUUCCUAAAUUCAGCAAUUACAAGCAGCAGGAAACAUACAUGUUACAACUUAAACGGUUACAUUUAAAAGUAAAACUCAUACCAGGCUUUUGGAAGGUUGUCAAAGAUGCUAGAAGACAGAGACACAGCCAUUAGCAUUGGUCGACCAAGCUGGACCAGAUCAUGAUCACCACUCAACGAAGGUCCUGGAACAUCACUAUGAGAUUGCAAGUACUCAACCAAUAAGUAAAUCCCAUAGCCCACCAUGGCAAGACCCAGCAGGGACAAGAAGAAGUUCAAAAGCUUCAAUAGGCACUCAAAGCACCCUCUGCAGGCCAUCCUCUCUGUACUUCCGAUCCCUAAAACAACAUUUCAAAUAUGCAUCUUACAUGCAUUAGAACCCUAAUUAAUAUCCAAUAAUAAAAAAUAAAAAUAACCCAACAAUUUCUUAAUACAUAGAACUAGCUUCAAUAUCCCAAACUUAAAGAAUCCGAACACGAAAUUCUCCAUUAAAAAAAUAAAACAAAAACGGAUCCUCACCUAUAAUCAAACUACAAAAACUUCAAAUUUCCAAAACACCUGAACUAAUAAAAUCCUCACAACUUCAAAUAAACACUUCCCUUCCCCAUAAAACAACAAUCAAAGUGGAAUUAAUAUAAAAAACAGCACAAUUCUAUCUCGAUAUCCCAAUUCUCCGCCUUUAGAAUGAAAUCAUGCAAAAUUCUUCAAAUAAACAUCGAAAGCGGGCAUAAUCUAGCUGAAAAUUAAAGAGGAUGAAGGAAGAAAUCGGAGAACUUACAAAUUGAGAGAAGAUGAUAAUCAGAUUGCUCGCUUUUCCGGACCUUGAAAUGAGAGAGAAAGAGAGAAAAGAGAAAAUGGAAUUAGAAAGACGGUCCAGCUCUGUUGAGGCCAGUUGGCAAAUGGAAUUGCACCCUAAUGGCUCUUUUUAAUUCAAGGACAUUUAUGUCCUUACCUUUACGCUUGGGUGCCCGGAUCUUCCGGGGACAUUAUUGUCAAUUUCGGAUGACGACAGUUUUAACUUUUAUAUUUCUCAUUUGCCCCCUCAAUAAUUACUCAAUUACAUUUCACACCACCCACACACACACACACAUAUAUAUAAUUUCAAGUCCAAUUUUAUUUCAAUAUUUUCAUACCAUUUCUUUUCUUCCCAAUAUCAAUCUAUACUCUAAUCGAAUUGUAUCAAUUUUAGAUUAAAAUUUUUCUCUUUUUAUACCCAUACUCGAUUAAUCUCAGAAAACAACCUACAACAUUGGAAAUUGAUCAAGCAUCGUAAAUUAAACUAAUGCUCUUGAAACUUUUCAUAUUAAAAAAUUAUGCUUACUAUUUAUCACUUUAUCGAUUUUUUUAUUUUUUUAGAAAAGUUCUUUAGGUUUAUUUAUAUGUAUUUUCAAUAUUUGGGAUUGGAGUUUAAUCACAUUAGCAAGUUUAUGAUAGCUAAACCAUGUUCAUAUUUACCAUGGUAUAUGAGAAUUGGUUGGGUACUAAUAAUUAUUUACCAUUUUGUAAAUAAUAAUUAAAAAAAUCAUUCCUACUCUAAUUGUUCAGCAGAUAAGGGAGAAUUCAAACAACCAGUUUCUUAAUCAUUAAGUUAAAUUGUAUUUAUUUGUAGCACAUUAAGAAAAUGUUAUUAUAAAUGAAAAAAGGAGAAUAAAUUAUGCAUUGUAAAUAUAAAAAACACACACCAUUGUGAGACUAAAUUAUAGAAAAUCUAAAGUCUAAAGUCUCGAUUCUAAGUUGUAUGGUGGUAUGUGUAUCGUCGUGGAAAUCAAAAGUGUGGUUGAAAUGUAUUACUCUUGAGGAUGAUUUUUUUCCAAAAGUGUGCUCAUUCUUGUAACUUAGCUACACAUUCGCUUACUAGAGUGUCUUUGUCAUUUCUCCUUUUUUCUAGGCAACGUCGUUUCUUCCUCCUCUUUGUAAUAUUUUGGUUUUUGUUUUUAGAUCCUAACAUUCUUUCUUGAUUCUCCUCUGCCAUUGGUUGUGGUUAGUUGAUCUUUUCCUAACUAAGCUCUCUUUUAAGAAAUUGUGUGGUGAAAGGUGUUUGUUUGGGUUAGGAGGUUCGGUUGCUUUGAGUGUUGUUUUCGUUUUGACCUUAGACUGGAACAUCUUCUUUCCUUUUAGCAAUACAUUAUCUUUAAAAAGAAUUAUAUAGAAAUCUCUUUUUAACUUUGAGAUUUAUUAUUGAUCUACAAUUUUUCUAAAAAAAUUGGUUCAAGAAUGUCUUUACCGCUACCUUAAUAGACAAAAGACAAUAAGAAAAUAUCGAAGUUUAAUGGACAUAUAUAUAUCACUUGUAACAGUGACAUAUAAAUAAAAUGAAUAUUAAACUCAAGCCCAACAAAACUAAAGUUUAUAAAAAUAAGAAAAUUAACGAAUCUAGAUCAAUUAAAAUAGUUGAUGGUCCAAAUUAUUCUUUAAAAUAAAAAUAUGUGAUUAUCAUGAUAUUGUUAUUUAAUACUAAAUACUUGGAUGAUUACUGUUGGAUACUAAUUAGUUUGAAAAUGUGUGAUUACCAUUUAAUUGUUAUAAAAGUUGUGAAUAUAAUUAAAACCUAUUAAUUAGUCAACUUAAGUAAAAAUUUAAAAAAUAGAAUUAGUUCUUAAUGAAAAAGUUGCAUAUCCCAACAUAAACAUUAUCUUUCUCAUGCAUUUAGAUUUUUACUGUUUAAUAUUAAUAUUCAUGAAAUAAAGUAAGGAGAUUGAUAUAAAAUAUUAAGUAAAAAGUAAAACUAUACUUAUAAAUUUUUGGAAAUUGUAUCUCUUAAAAUUAUUAAAAUUAAUUAGUUGUUCAAUUUCGAUCAUCCAUUAAGAUUUCGUUUUAAAACUAGGAAAGCAUAAUCUUUAAUUGUAAUGAUAAAACAAGGAUUGAUAUUACAUUAUUAAAAAUAAAUGUUGGAAACAGAAGGGGAUAGUAAAGAAUUUUCAUUAAUAUGAGCCAUUUUUCCAAAAUAAUAAUAAUAAUAAUUUUAAAAUUUUAAAUCCUUUUUGGCAAUUUUUCAUUUACUACUUAUAACGAUUUUAUCAAACUAUAUAAUUUAAAAUUAAAUUCUAACUUUAUAAACUCAAUACAAUAUUUAAAAAUGAUAAAAAUCAUCUUUUGAGUUAUGUAUAUUCGGAUAUGGGGCUAAGAAUACUAAAACGCUAAUUUCAAAUUAUAUUUUGUUUGAAUAAAUUACUGUUAUUUCCUUCUAAAAGAAGCAUUAUUAACAAACAUGGUUACAAUCAGGGAGAUCUGGAACCGUCGAUUUGAGGAGGGACGGUGGAGAUUCCUUUCUUAGAAAGCUCUGUGAGAACACUCUCUGUAGAAGGAGGCUUAAGCCCUAAUGGAAGGGGUGACCAUGGCUUCUUCAUUGCCUCUUUCACAAUCUUGUCGACCACUUCCUCAUCCUACCAAAAAUAAAUUAUCAAUUUAUUAGUUUCCAAAUUGAAUAAUUAUUCGAUUUUUCUUUUGAAAAAUUGUAAUUGUUUUCUUACACCUCCAUAUUUUCUUGAUUUUUUUUUUUUUUGUAAAAAAUACAAUAUAGAUGUAUGAAUGUAGUAUUUAUAAAUUUAACUUUAAUAAGUGGGAGUCUUUUCGCUUUGAUAACUAUUUCGUUUUUUCUAAAAUUGAGCUUCCAAUUACUAUCUAUUGUUUUGUUAUUUACCUUCUAUUCAUAUUUAUAAAAAAAAUAAAAAAAAGGUUAAAUUAUGUAAACUAGAAAUAAAAAAGUUUUUUAAAAACAACAAAUUUGACGAGUAAUUCAAACUCUUUUACUUUUAUAUAAGAAAACUCAAAUCACUUGUUAUGCACAAGAGAGUUGUGUACAGAUCGUAUAAAUAUGAUAUAUCAAAUCAAUAUGAUUGAGGCAGAGAAAAGAGUCUUUCCCAAAAAGUCAUUUUCAUUUUUUACUUUUUACAAAAUCGGUUUAAAAUAAACUGUGAAAAAUUUCACAAAUUAUUUUGAGUAACAUACAUACAAACAGUAUUUUUUUUUAUUUUAAAAAAUAAACAAUUUUAGGUUUGAUCAAAACGAAUAAUCACAAAAAGCAAAAGAAAAGGAGGUUUAUAUUUACUGGUUGAAGAUCAAAUAAACCCUGAGGCAUGCCAUAGCUCUUAUUUACUGUAUGCAUAUUGUGUUGUGACGCUGAUACAAGCUGCAAAAUAAUAGCCAAAAUAGAGCAGCCAUAAUUAAAUAAAUAAGGAAGGCUAAACCUCAGUUUAACUCUAGGUAAAAAGAAAAAAGGAAAAAAAAUGCCUCUCACCUGAGGAUAUGAAAAAUACGGAGCAUGAGAAGGCGGCAUCACAGGGCAACCCCAUGUAUCAGCUUGCACCUACAACAAAUAGUUCAAGCAAAAUUAUCAUCCCAACAUAGAAGCCAUGGAUUAUGUUAAUUUAAAGUCAAUGAAUUCAUGCAUUUAAGUUUCUUGUAUUCAAACAUAACGCGUCCAAAUAUCUAAAACAUGUUAGAUGAUAAGUUUACAAUUGGUCCACAUCAAAGAGUUUACACUUCUUACACCACUUGUUUGUUUGUUUGUUUUUUACACUUCGUUUUACUAUUUCGUCUGUUCUUGAAGAAUAGUAGCUUUAAAAAGUUUGUCACAUCAAGUCUAUAAUUUACAUUAAAAAGAUAAUUUUGUACAAGUUUUGAAAAUAAAACAAAAUAAAUGUAUCCAAAAAAAUUAUUUAUGUUUCUUAUUUUUAAGUACCUAUAAUUUGAAAGCAAGAAAUCUUCCUGUUAGUCCAAAACUAUGUCUACAACAUUACUUUUGUCAUCGACAAAAUCACUUUCUAUUGAAAUGUUGAUGUUUGGCAAACAUUAAAAUCAUAAUAUAAUAAUUUAAUUUAUUUUCAUAAAUUCUUUUGAACUUUGGAUUAACUUUUAAAGUGUUUAAAUUUGAAAAACAAAAUCUUUCGAUAACUUUUCAAGAUGCAUUUUAAAGAAAUGAGAUUGAAAAUAAUUAUCUAAAAAAACUUUGAAGCAAAUUUUAAGAAAAUAGAUUUUUAAAGUAUAUAAAAACAUAAAAAAAUAUAAGUGUUUAAAUUUUAACUCAUUCUAAAGAAAGUUUAUUAAAAAAAUAUUUUUAAAAGACAUUUUUUUAUAAAUAAUUCAAACGCAGUUUAAAGUAAUUUUUAUAUAUUUAAAGUUGACUUUGGAUUAUUGUGUUUUUGGUUUAUAAAAUCCUUUUAGAAUUAUUACAUCAAUAAUUACUAAAAAGGAGUAUUUUUAUUUUUAUCAAUAAAUAAGUGAGAUAAUUUUACUUAAAAAGUGAUUAAUUUUUUUUACAAUUAUUGUGAUUUUAGAUUUUUUUCAAAAUAACUUUCUAUUUUUUUUAAAAAGUGUAAUUUUGACAGUAACAAUGAUUUUAACUCCAUGAAAUCAUCCUACUUGUUGCACUUUGUGCAAAUAACUACAGCGUAUUUAAUCAGGUUGUUUGGGACUAGACUCAUUAUAUGAUAGUGGACUCUAAGAACAGAAAACGUUACCCCUGCGUAGGAAUUCCAGGGCUGAAUUCCAGGUUGUGGCCAAUGGCGAUAACCUAACGGACCCCAGACGUGGACAUUAGGUGGAUGGUCAUUGGUCUGUCUCCAUGUUGGAUAAACAGCAGACACUGAUAUUCCACAGUUUGGAUGAUAAGAAGGGUAAGCCAUUAUAGGUUUCAAGUGAUUGGUUUGUAAUGUACUUCUUGUUGGAUAAUGUGACCACCUUGUAUUUUCUUCUCUCUGCAUCACAUGUUUCUUUUGCAUUCUGUACUUCUGCUUAAAACAAAAUUAAAAAGAAAUGGUGUCAAUUUUGGUAAGUAAUUAACAAAGAAAUUAGGAGGUGAAGAGUUAUUAAGAAUAUGGAAUUAGAGCAAAGUCAGGUGACCACCUGGAGAUGACUUGCAAUGUUGUGCCUUGUCAAACCUUCAACUUUCAUAAGCUCAAGUAUUUUGGAAGGAAUUGCAUGAUCUAUCCCUAACUGUUCAACUGCUUGAACAAAAUUUCUAUGUAGCUCUGGGGUCCAGUCCACCUAAUAAACCAUAUACCAUUCAGAAUCUCGUAAACUAUGAAGCAGACACUCCAUUUGAGGCUGGGUGUUCGAGUUAGAUACACAAAUUUCCAUGGCUUAUUUUUACUUGUUUAUUUUUAGUUUCAGACAUGUGGAACAUGCUUGGGACACUUCUUCGACCUGCCUGGGACACUUACUUUUAAAAACAAUUAUCUAACCUUUUACGUUGGACCCCAAUUUAAAUUCCAACUCAUCUAUGUGCUUAAAGAAAAAGGAGACUAUUUUUUUAACCAAAGAUAAAAAGGACAUAAACAUAAAACGUGUCCGCGUUCAUGUCCGUGCUUCUUAGCCUGUAAAUAAGAAGUUUUUUUUUUUCUUUUUAACAUUCAUAAUAUACUUGGCUAGUUUAUACAUAAGCAAACAAUCAUUGACCCUCUAACAUUAAGUUGUCAUCCACAGAAAUUUGUGGGUGGGUGGGUGUGGCCACCUCAGUUAAAUGAUAACUCGAUUUUGGCAUGGAAUUGUAAAAGUUACCCUGGAUUCUUUUGUAAGCAGUUAUCAUAAAAACGACUUCAACGUUUUUUCCUAUUUAAUGUGUUUAAAUUUUUGUCUUGAUGAAGUGACAUUCUUGAAUUAGAAACACACUUUCACAGAAAAAUCCCAGCCUUGAUACAAUGAAAUGCCUGAUGCAGGGACUUAAUAUAUGGAGACAAAAGACACUCCUCAUUAAACGUAAAAUUAAUAUUACCUUUGAGUCGGAUAAUUUUACCUUUGUUUUCUUUGCUUUGGAUCCAGCAGAUUGGUUCACACCAGUUCUUGGAUUGAGUUCUCAGCAGCUAAAGGAUCACUCUUGACACCAAUUUUUUUCUGCAAAGGGAUGAUUAACGUUACUCAGUACCAUUAUUAAAAAACUGCAAAGUUCUUGUCUUCUUUGACCAUUACCUUGUCAGAUAAUUGAGGUUGGCCCUCCUGAAUGGGGCCUUCACAAAUUAAAUCAUGUGAAGUAGUUUCGACAAAUUUAGACUGCACAUCUUUGUCCUUGCAAUCUGUUUCCAUUGAACAGUUCAUUUGAUCUCCGCUUUCCCAGCUAGCUUGCCUAGAUGCUCCAAGGUUCAGUUGAGACCUAUCAUCACUUCCUUCUGGUUGCUCCCACACAAUAUCCUGAAUCCAAGAAAGAAUUUCCAUGUCUUCCGGAACUCCAUUCUUGUCUUCAUUCUGUAGUUGGAAUUGCAUCAAGGAUGCUACGGAGUCUUCAUCCGGCUUUGAACUAUUGGAAUAUGCCUUCUCAAAAUAUUGCUGGUUAAUACUUUUGUCAAUAUAAUUCUGUUUUUUUUGCAUACCACAAUUUUUGCUAGAACUGAACAAUACCUUGUGAAUGACAUGCUGCCAGAUAUUCCUGAGUUUGUCCUCUGAGAGCGGUUUCAACAAGAACUCAACUGCACCAAGCUGAACGUAAAUUGUAAAUAUAGAUGCAUAGACAAUAAUGCAAAACCAUAGUUAUGAGAAUCAACUAUUGGAGAACACACAUAUGAUAGUGGAAAAGCUUCCUGCAACCAGUCAAUCUAUCCAAAGUAACCAGUCCCUAAGCAACUUGAAAGGACUGUGCUAAACUACUGUCCAGUUUUAGAAUCACCAAAGACAGAGGCCGUUUAAAGAGAGAUUAGACUAGAAUCCUUACCGCAAUGCAUUUCAUCAUGGUACUUAGGCAAUGAACAUCUGAAGUCACUGUGCCACAGAAAAACAUAAUCUCAGUGUCAGGUCAGGAACCCUAAAAUUAGUUGAAAGAAGCUGUUAAACCUGUCUUGUUUAUUCUGAGAACCUAGCUUUGCUUUUUUUAAGUAGUACAACAGCAUAUAAGGGUGAGAUUUGGACAUCUGACCUUUUGGUCCGAGAUAUGUAUUUUUGUUAACUUACUUAUUAUAGGCAAGUCCUUGGAAGCGCCAAGCAACUUAAAACUCUCAUCGUAAUUUCUUGCACAAACCUGUGACCAAAGAUUGUCCAAGAAUUUAAACAAGACAGCAAUAGUCCAAUUAUCAUGAGAAGUGAAUAUUAUCAAGUAAACAUACCAGAGGAGUCAGCUUAUGGCCUAAAUGUAUAAUUCCGUUCAGAAAGUCAUUAGUCAUACCUCCAGAAUUGCAACAUGGAAGUUUCCCGGUGUGUUCAAAAUUGCUGACGAAGCUUCCUUCUCAUCAGUGCAGGAAUAAACUGCAGUAUGACAAGUGAAUCUUCUCAACACACAGAAGUAUAAAAGAAAGUAAAAAAGGAAACUUCUUAAAGGAAUGGAGAACCUGAAUUAUACCAAUUCAGAAUUUAACAAGUUAAUGAUAUUUGGAAAUACACAUUUUGAGGGAAAAAAUAGUGAAACUCUAUAGUCGUUGAGUAGAAAUAAGUGCAUUUUCAAUCUGUUUAUAAUUCCAGCCCAUCCACUAUAUAUCUGAUUAUAGUAAACAAAAUUUAAUAAAAAAUAUUAAACAUAGUUUUGGUACUCGAACUUUCAUUAAUGUACUACUUUGGUCUCUAUUCUCUAUUUUUUUAUUUAUUAUUUCUUUAGAAUUUCAGCUUUAGUCCUCGAGUAUAAUUAUAUUCCACAUGUACUCCUUACAAUAAAGAUGUAUAACUAUUUUAUUGACAAUGUGAUGUCAUCUCACUCAUUAUCAUUUUUUCAAUAAAUACUAAAUAUGCAAUAUAAUGAAAGUUUAAGGUCCAAAAUAAAUUUCCAACCAAAAGGAACAUGGAUGGAUAAAAUUUCGAGCCUCAAAUCAUAACCAAGCGAAAAAAGAAAGAGGGCUAAGUUAUACAUGUAAUUAGCAUCCAAAGGUGGAUUAUAGAAAAGAGAAUGCAGAUCUCCUCAAGCAAUCAAGUACCUUAAGAUAGUUUCUUUGGGGCGUGAGUAAAGAAAACAUAUUUGAAUCUUGAAAAAGACAGCAAAGAAACGUCGAUUUUAAAGAAAGAGGAUUUCUAGCAAAAAGAUAUUUUGAAAUGUCUCACCAACAUACUCCAUUUCCUCAAGUUUUGAUCUUAUCUCGGUCGCUGAGAAACUGUCCCUAUCAAGAAGAAGAACCCUCAGACCCUUGGGGAAGUCCUUCCAUUCUUGUAAAUCGUCGGCAGUGCAAACCAUAGCUCGCUUGGCCUGUUUCUUCUUAUAUCACUGCUCAUCGGCAAAAACUCAAACAUCUUCAAACCAUAAACUGAUUUCAAAUGGAAAUUUAAACAUAUUUAUAUAAAGAAAAACAUCGAACAGCUAAUCGACGUCUCACAAAUGUGCAAGAGCGAAACGCUCGAGGAAAAAAGUAACAAAAAUGCGUACAAACGUCUCAGCUCAAGAGAUUACUCGUGAAAACGAUAAUGCAUUUACACAAAAAGGCACAUACACUAUACAGUAACCAUAAACAUCCUGAACUCCAAUUAAUGAAGCAGAAAACCAUUAUUCGAAGACUAAAUCCUCAGAAAAACUUAUAUUCCCAACGUAACACAUCAGGAAACAACCAAGCACAGAGAUAUAGAGAUUUAAGAAUCAUAUCGAUUAUCGAAAUCCUUCCAACAGAAACGAAAAUCAAACUCAUGACAAUCACGAGCAAAAAAACAACGCUGGAACAUUGACGAAUUAUUAAAAAAAAAAAAAAAAAAAGCGAAAAAAGACGGAAAGGAUAUUACAUCAAUCACAGUUUCGUGUGUUGUUGCUCUGACGGACUGGUACGUAGGUUCAGCAUCUACACAAAUAAAGCAAGAAGAAAUGGAGAGAGAGUGGAAAUGUGAGAGAUUACGGAUCCUUACGAUUGCGGACCACACCACUGCAUCCAUGGUAAUGAAGAAAACUGUGGAAUCUGUGGUUCAGUUUCAAAGAUGGAAAGAAAAUUUGAAGAGAAGAAAUGGAAGAAGGAAAGCUUACAGUGUGGGGUGAAAAUGAUGAGACGAAGAAAGAUGAACGAAAAUUGAAGCGUACGUAGUUGAAAUACUUUUGCCGGCUCCAACGAUCAUCUAUUUAUCGGGAGACUUAUUCUUCCCUUUCUAGAAAUUGAAGUUUCGGUUUAUACUAUAUGCUUCAACUUUUUGUACACUGUCACUCAAAUACACACAUGUGAUGUUUUCUUAUUAAAUAUUUUUUUAUAAUCUCAUUGCCCGUUUUUGUAAAAUAUAAAUGAUCGGAAUCUAAAAAAAAAUUUCAAAAAUUCAAAAAUAAAUUAAAAUAUUUACUGAUCAAAAUUUUAAAUUAUAUGUUAUAAUUAUAUAUAUAUAUAUAUAUAUAAAACUAAGAGAAUAACAAAAUUGUAUUUUAAUCCAGUGAUAAAAUUCUUCAAUGAUUGAAUCAUCAUUUUAUUUUAUUUAGUUUUUGAAAUACUGAAAACACUUUUUCAUUUUUAAUAAUUGAAUAGUUUUAAAAUCAGUUUUAGGAUAAAACAUAAAUUUAGUUGUUUAGAAAUAAGUUUACAAAAUGGAUUGUACUUAAAUUUUUUCUUUUUCUCUCUCUAAAAUCACUACACUCGCAAUCACUUCCAAAAACAUCCAAAGUUGAGGAGAACUAGAGCGCUUGAGCCCGAACCUAUACUAAAUUUAUUAGUGAUUAUAAUAGUUUUGCUAGAUAAAGUACUGUUUUGUACUCAUUAGAAACCACACUUGCUAUUUCAAACGAUAUUAUAUUCUAUCUUCAUAUAUAUAUAUAUAUAUAUUACUACAAUGUUUACUAUUUUCUUUUCAAGCUAAAAUAAUUUACACCUAAAUAUAUAUUAUUGUUAGUGUAAUCAAAACUAAAAUAAUUUACACUCCAAACAUAAUCUAUUAUAUAAAUCAAUUAUAAUGAUCAACUCCUUACUCCAUAUGCUCUUAACCGUUUGGGUAAUGUAAUUAAAAUGUGCUUGAAAUACAUUUUCAAAUAAUUAAUUUAAAAAAUAAGUAAUUAUCGAAAAAAUGACUGUAUUUGAUAAUUUUUUUAAGGUAUAUUUUAAAUAGUUUUUAUUAAAAGAUUAAUAUAAGUCCUCAAAAUAAAGAUUUAGGUCUAAAAUAAUGGCAGUUAAUUUUUAAAAUAAAAAUAAAAAAUCAAAUUUUAUUAAAAAGAUCAUUAUUAAUUAAAAUCCAAUACAAUAUACACAUACUUCAUAGGUUUAUAUAAUUUUAUAAAUCUUUGUCGUUGAUUUCAACGUUAAUAUAUCAUUCACAUGUACUCUUAUAUUUUAACGUUAUAUAUCAUUCACAUGUACUAUUAACGUAAAAGUUGGUGGUGUCAUAAGUUCAUAACAAAUAUGGUACAUACGUGAUUUGAAAAUAGGGGUGUUUUUAUAAAAAAAUGGUAAAAUGAGUUUUUAAAAUAUUUGAAUAAAAUGGAUGAAUUUUUGUUUUACUAGAAUGUUUUAUUGAAGAGAGGCAUUCCACGUUAUUUUCUUUUUUUUUUUUCUUUUAAUUUUUUCUCUCUCGUGUUAACUUAAAAGAAGGAAAAGCAAUGUCAGUGGGCCCAUCUCAUUUAACUUAUUAUUUUUAAUUAUUAUUAUUAUUUUAAUUAUUAUUAUUCUUAACAUUAAUAUUAUUAUUAUUCUUUUAAUGUUACUAAUAUUAUUAUUAUUUUUCAUUGCUCUGUCUAUGUAUCUAUCUACCUAUGUAUAUAUUAUACAUGCUCUUAAUUUGAUUUUGUAUACGUUUUAAGCAAAAUUUUAAACUUAUAAAUGACUAGUGUUGUAACAUUUGUCUAAAUUUACGAUAUUAAAAGUUUAAAUAACAAAUUCACACAAUUUUUUUAUAAAAUAAAAAAAAUAAUUUACUUUUAUUUUUCAAUCACACACGUAUACGCACAGAGUUGGUUUAUUUUUAUUAUUGAUUUAUACCAUAUCUUUAAAUUUAUCCUUUCAUCUCCUAUUACCUUUUUUUAAUAAUAAAUCAUUUUUAAUAUUUAUAAAUUCAAAAUUACUAAAAAAAAUUGUAACAAAAAAACAUUCAAAAAUUAAAUUUAUACAAUAUUAAAUUACAAAAUUGACAUUAAUUGAAUCUAUACAAAAGUUAUAAAGUGAAAAAAUCAUCCAAAUAUGAAAGAAUAGUUAAUUUCAAGUGGAAUAAAUUAAUCAAUAAGUUUAUUUAAAUAUAUUGUUACACUAUUUUUUAUCGUUAAAUAAUAAUAAUAAUAUAAACAACAAACAAUAAUAAGCGGAUAAGAAUAAUACUAAUAACAACAAUAAUAAAAAAAUUAUAUAUAAUAUAAUUUGAAUGGCCUCACUGUGGGGCCCAUUUCUCCUCUUUUUGAAAGAAAUUAAAAAGAAAAGUAAAAAAAACCAUCCCUUUUACCAUGAACACACCUUUAUUUAAAAUUAAUUUUUCUAAGAUAUUUUAAAAUUAAUUUUUAAUAAGUAUGUGGUACGGUAACUAAAUCAUUUUCUUUAUGUUUUCUAAAUAAGAAACUUGUUUUUAAAAUUACAAAGAAAAUUAAAAAUAAAAGGAUAAGUUUUCUUUAAAAUACGUUUUGUUUUCUAAAUCAAAAAACAAAUUAAUUUCAGUUGUCACUUAUAUAAUUUAAAUGAAAAAAAAUGGUCAAAAAUAGCCAAAUGAAUAAAAUAUUUAGAUUAUAAAAAUCAACCAUAAUAAUUCAUGUCUUUAGUUAUUUUUUCUACGAGGUAUAAAUAAUUAUCUUUUUUCAAAAAAUUAUUUCAUUAAUUAUUUGAAACUAAAGAUAACGUCAAAUAUAAAAUUAAGCAUUAAUCAAAAUUAAAUAAUUAAAUGAAGAACAUACUAAUCUAAAAAAUAGAUUUAAAAUUUAGAGUUCAUAAAAUAUAACCUAAAGAAAUUUAAGAACCAAAUAAAACAAUAAACUAAAAGAGUUUAAGUAAUAUCUCAUAAUUAAAACACUAAUUUGGAUUACAAUGAAGUUUGAUUAAGAAGAUCAAAGAAAGUAUAUGUCAUGGUCACUUCAUACCAUAAAAUAAAUGGUGUGACAUAUACAUUUACUCGUGACAAAACUCAACUUAACUUAAAUAAGAAGACACGUGUACAUAGUUUAUCUUUUAAAGUAAAUAUUUUCAAAAUAAAUUAAAGUAAUUAUACUUUUGGGUUUUACCAAAAAGAAAAAAAAAAGAGAUAAUAUUUUGGGUGAAAAUGACAAACUCUUCAAAAUUUGUCAUCAAAGUAAAAGCAUUGGAUCUUUGUUUCUUUCUACAUUUUUAUGAAACAAUUAAUGUUUUUUUAUUUUUUUUCACUUUUCUUAGCCCCAAAUAGUUCCAAAGUUACAAUGAUAUUUCUUAUUAUAAAAAAUAGUACCAAGAAGAUAGGUUUUCAAAACGUAAAUAAAUGAAUUAUAAUUUUGCCCGAAUAAUAAAUUGGUGUGAUUGAAACUGGAAUAUAGAAAUUAAUGGGAAUUGGGAUGAGUAGAUAUUUGUGGAGAUUGUUUAAAAAAUAUAAAACCGAUAAAAUAUUUAAACUGUAUAGAACCAUUUCGAAAACAAAAAAAAUCAAUAGGUUCAAAAUGGAAAAUAUCAAAAAUGUUAUAGCUAGCACACGAUUAAUUGGUCACUCACACGUAUAAUAUAUUUUAUCAAUAUCGUUUAGAUUUGGCUACGCGAUUCGUAUAUUAAUAUUCAAAUGAUUUUUGUUCAAACAAAAUUUAUAUAAAUUAAAAUUUACAAGAAGGAUUAUAGAAGAAAGAAGAUGAAAUAGAAAAGAGAAGAAGUGCAGAAAAAAGAAAGAUGAAAAAGAGAGAGAAUAUUUUAAAAGAUAGUUAAUUAGACUCUAUAUCUCUUUUUAUCUUGUUCUAUGGAUACUAACUAUUCAGGUGAUUUGUUAUAUUUAUAAAAAUUAACUGUAUUCUUCACUUGUGUAACUAUAGGAGAUGUUCAAUUAUUAAGAUGAAGUUAGCAGUGACAUGUCAACUCUAGACGUUAAAUUGAUUUUAUGUAACAAUCGAAUAAUCAAACACUCUAUUGAAUAAUAAAAACAACUAUUCAAAUUUGUUUUAGCUAAAAUAGGAAAACAAUUAUUCCAUAUUCUUUUUGAUCAUUUUUCUUGAAAAAAUAAAUGGCUAUUUUCUUUCCACCUCAGGGUAAAACAAAAAGUGUCAUACAAAUGUGUUUUUUGAUAUGAUUUACCAUUUAAAUUGAUACAUGAAUUAUAAUUUGUUUUAUGAUUGAAAGGUCUAAAUUAAAAUUUGACCAAUAUUCAAUUUUCACUUUUUCUUAACAAAAAAUAAAAUUAAAUUAACCAUUCAAAUCAAUUCAUCAGAUAGGAAAUAUAGUGAAUCCUCACACGAAACUCAAUCCAACGAAAAAAAUAGAUAUCACUACUUGUGUGGUCAUUUGAAGUUGAUUGUUCGAGGUGGUUGUGCGUUGAAGAUAUAUCCAAAAGUUUUGCUAGGUUAGAUUGCAAGUGAUAGUUGUCUUUGGAUGUGACCAACCAAGGGCAAUGGUGUGUUGUCAACAUUUAUAAUGAAAAACUAUAGUAGAAGAUUGACGUAUUUUGAUAAUUCCAUAUAUUAUACACUUACCGAUAAUUCAAAUCUUAAUUUUCUUUUAUCAAAAUCAUGUUAAUUCAUAAAUCAUUUAUUUUAUUUUCUAUAAAGUUAUUUUAAAUGAUUGUCAACCACUUUAACUUUAUUUAAAAAUUAGUUGUUCUAAACAUAGAAAUCGAAAGAUACUAACCAUAGUUAAUGAAUUAGAUAACUUCAUUUAUUUUUUCUUAAUCAAAUUAUCUAUGUUGAUCUCUGCUAUACAUGUAUAUAAUAUGUGUGCUUGCAUAUAUUUUAACAACACAACAAAAAAAAGUUUGUCCAAAUUUUGAAGAUGGUAAUUAAUUAAAAUAUUUAUGUCUUGCACUAUCAUAUACAUUACAUAUAAUUUACACUCACGUAUAUGGUUGCAUAAUCGAAUGGAUUUUUAUUUUUCUUUCUAAUUUGAAUUAUACAAGACAAAAGUCGGAUGUGUCACAAUAAAUGUACAAGAACAACUAUAAAUAAAAGUUUUACUAUAAAUAAAACUUAUAAGAAAAGAUGCAUUCAUUACAUUGUUAAUAUAUGCAUUGAUCCAUAUAUCAUAUAUGAUAUACCUUUCAUAUGGAAGUUCAUCGGAGUGAUUGCAUGUGACUUUCUAUCUCUUUCGAUUUCAUUUCUCCAUUCAUGUAAAAUUUCAUAUAAAGAUCAAAGUAGAGGUUCGCCACAAAAAUUUAACAGAGACUAGAGAUGUCUUUUUUACUCCCGAGUUGCAUGAUAAUGUCUCCUUAAUUCAUAUCUAUAUAUUUUAUUCUUAAAGUUACAUAAAUAAUUGUUGAUUGAUCUAACACAUGACACACACAAAAUAAUUAAAAAACUGAAAUAAUCAAACGAUAUAUAUACUCGAUCAAUCAAAAGACAUAUUAUUACAGAAUUUACAUUUAGACUACAAAACAACACGACGAAAUAAUUAACAUCUCUCGAUUGAAAUGCUAACACGUGAGAGGAUAAAACCCUAUCACGUACAUGUGUAAAUAGUUGAUAGGAAAAUAACAUUAUGUCAAGCUUGCUUGUGUUAAUUACUUUAUUAUUUCAAGUGUACUAUAAAGAGUUAAUAUUUUCCUAACAUUUAGUAAUAAUAUUCUACAACUAGUUUUUAGCAAUAAUAUUUGGAAUAUUUUUAAACAUUUUGAGAUCUUCUAUCUUUCAGUUUCGUAAUAUUUUAAAACAAAAACACAUAUCAUUUUUUUAGUUUAUUAUAACUAUAGAAGGAUUUUAUUUUUAAAUAUCAUUGAUAAUUACAUUUUUCUCAUCAAUAAGUUUUUUUUUAUAAAUAUUCCGUUCUUUCCUUAUUAGCAUGAAAAUGUCAUAUUAAUCCCUAUAAAAUAAUAUUUAUAAAGUAUAAAUUGGUGAACCUAGAAAAAUAAAGAAUUUUUUUAAGAGUAGCAAAUUUUACAAAAUAUUUUACUAACCUCAACAAAAAUGAUAGUUACCUAUAUGCAACAGUUAUAGUGGUCUAUCAAGUGACUGUUGUUGAUAAAAUCCAAAAUUUUACUAUUAUUUAUAAAUAUUUUAAUUUAUUUUGGUAUUUGGUAGUUAAUAUUAUUAAUUUAUUUUGGUAUUUGGUAGUUAAUAAUAUUUAGAAAAGAAGUGAUAAUGUAAUGAAUGAUCAGUAAUUGUAUGGAAACAUCAAUUCGUGGACAUCCAGUUGAUCUGAAAGAACAUUCAAAUAAGUCUGUUGAAUAAGAAAUUUUGAGACCAAUCACAAGUUGCCACAUCAUUUAUUAAGUUAAUGAUGAAAAGUACAAAUAAUUAAAUUUGGGACUAAUUAAAAUUGACACAUGCCCCAAAUUAAAGAGUUAAAAUAAAUAAAUUGGUCAUUCUAAUAAUGCCACAUGUUUUCAUAUUAAUCGUUGGAUUAAGUUAAUCAUUUUAGUUCAAUUAAGCCAAAAAAAUAAGCUUAAUUGAGCCCAAAGACUAAAUAUAACCUAAGUCCAUAUGGUUGAGCCCAUGGGUCUGGUCCAUGGACCAACCAAGUUCAAACCCAUAAAGCCCACCAGUGAACUCUAUAAAUAGAGGAAUUCUCCUCAUUUGCAGGGGUUGGAAAAUUUUGACUCUAGAAGAUCCAGAGAGAAUUCUUCCAAAAGCUAGAAGACUCCCUAACUUCUGAAGUUGACCACCCUCGAAGAUUGAAGCUGUUUUGAAGAUACAAACUUUCUUCCAAGACUCCAACUUGAAGAAAAUCACGUGCUCCGCUUCUCCAAAUCAAGCGUAGACGUUCAACAAACUUCAAGAACAUCACGUGCUCCGCUUCCUCAAAUCAAGCGUAAGCAUUCAACCAACUUGAAGAACAUCACGUGCUCCGCUUCUCCAAAUCAAGCGUAGACGUUCAACAAACUUCAAGAACAUCACGUGCUCCGCUUCUCCAAAUCAAGCGUAGACGUUCAACAAACUUCAAGAACAUCACGUGCUCCGCUUCCUCCAAAUCAAGCGUAGACAUACAGUUGAGAGAGAAUCAGAGGAUCAAAUUCUAGAGAUUGAACCGCAUCGCAUCAAAUCAACAAAAAUACAACAUCAACCAAGUUCAAGUCCACGAAUUAAAUUUCUCCGGAAAUCUCGUGCGAACAAAUUGGCACGCCCAGUGGGACCAUCUCUACCUCUCAUCUCUCUCUCAUCAUCUAGAUCUACAAGCAAAUCAAUGGCAUCAAAGAAAGCUGCAUCCAAAUCUUCAGCUGCAAGCGACACCUACACGGGACCUAUCACCCGUAGUCGUUCCAAGGGGAUCAUCCAAGGGCAAGACCAAGGUUCCGCCAUCGCGCAGAGCAUCCUGAAGCAAUUGAUGGAAUCUCCUAAAGCUGGAAUUGUCAUCAAGGAAAAUCCUCUAUAUAAUGAUUAUGAUUCUGCCUCUAGCAGGUCACUGAAAGAAGCACACCCAGAUGUGAUGUCCGUCAUGAUGGCUGAUGUAGCAGUCGAGACUGCCAUGGCGGAGAUGGAGAGAAAAAUUAAUCUCCUGAUGAAGGUUGUUGAUGAACGAGACCACGAAAUUGCAGCUUUAAAGGAGCAGAUGCAGACUCGUGAAACUGCUGAAUCGAGUCAAACUCCUGUCGUUAAAGUUGAUGACAAAGGGAAGAACGUGGUACAAGAAAAUCAGCCACAACAACAAUCAACUUCUGUGGCUUCUCUCUCGGUUCAACAAUUACAAGAUAUGAUCACAAGCUCCAUCAGAGCACAAUAUGGAGGCCCAUCUCAGACUUCUUUCAUGUACUCUAAACCAUACACCAAAAGAAUCGACAACUUGAGAAUGCCGCUUGGAUAUCAGCCUCCAAAAUUCCAGCAGUUUGACGGAAAGGGCAAUCCAAAACAGCACGUUGCUCACUUCGUCGAAACAUGUGAGAAUGCAGGAUCAAGAGAGAUCAACUAGUCAGACAAUUUGUUCGAAGCUUGAAAGGAAAUGCUUUUGAAUGUAUACUGAUCUGGACCAGAAAAGCAUUGAGAGUUGGGAACAACUAGAAAAGGAGUUUCUCAAUCGCUUCUACAGCACCAGGCGUACUGUAAGCAUGAUGGAGCUUACAAAUACGAAACAAAGAAAGGGAGAACCAGUCAUCGACUACAUCAAUAGAUGGAGAGCUCUAAGUCUUGACUGUAAAGAUCGGCUCACCGAACUGUCGGCUGUAGAAAUGUGCACCCAAGGCAUGCACUGGGGACUCCUCUACAUUUUGCAGGGAAUAAAGCCCGCACAUUUGAAGAACUGGCAACUCGAGCUCAUGAUAUGGAGUUGAGCAUCGCCAGUAGAGGAACUAAAGAUUUUCUUGUUCCUGAAGUAAAGAAAGAUAAGAAAGAGAUGAAAGGUGCUGAAAAGAUAGUGAAAAGCACCGCGAAAGAAUCUAUGGUCGUAAACACAACCCCGCUGAAAUUCUCCAAAGGAAAGGAAGCGAGGGUUGAAAAGAAGGAUGAUGGAAGCGAAAGGCGACGUCUGACUUUAAAAGAAAGGCAGGAAAAAGUUUACCCAUUUCCUGAUUCAGAUAUCGCUGACAUGCUAGAGCAACUACUAGAGAAGCAGCUGAUCCAGCUGCCAGAAUGUAAACGACCUGAGCAAGCAGGAAAGGUAGAUGAUCCCAAUUACUGCAAGUAUCAUCGGGUCAUCAGUCAUCCAGUAGAGAAAUGCUUCGUGCUGAAGGAGCUAAUUCUAAGGUUGGCUCGUGAGAAAAGGAUUGAGCUAGAUUUGGAGGAAGUAGCUCAAACAAACCACGCUGAAGUGACGAUAAUGUCUGAGGCUUCUUCGUCGAGAUUGAUUUUUGAGCAAAGGAAAAGCUUGGUCCAGUUCGGGACCUUUGAGCCUAUAGUUGUCCAAUUCUUUCAGGAAAUCUCAUACGAGGAUCCUCAAGGAGAGAAAAGACCAAUAAGAAGACGAUGAAGGGUGGAUAGUGGUGACCCAAAAAAAGACAGUCGAUCCCGACCCAAAGAGAGUCUCGCUCUUACCAAAACUAUAGAAGAGGAAAUAAGACUCAAAAGAAUAAGAAAAAGAAGAAGACUCAUAAGCUUAAGCUCGUACAUAAUGAAGACAUGAAUUUCUCUCGACCUCAACGCUUAGUGACCUUGGCAGACUUUGUGAUCAUCAGGAUGAAGACCCAGAAGUCGUUGCGUGUCAUGCUAUCAACACAACGGAGGAAGAAAUAAUCCCUCCAAGAUCACUAGAAGGAGAGGGAGUAUCAAAAGACCUUUCAAGGUUUAAUGUAGAGGAUCUAUUAUCACUUCCUCAAGAGACCAAAACCAUCCUUAUUGAUGCAUUGCUAAAUUCAAGAGCAUCAAGUUCGAGUACUCCGACUAUGACAUAUGAGAGUGGUUCUUAUUGUAUGUCUAUAGACUUCUCAGAUGAGGAUUUGUUGUUGGGAUCUAAACUUCAUAAUAGACCUUUGUAUGUUUCUGGAUACGUUCGAGAACAGAGAGUCGAUCGAAUCCUCAUUGAUAAUGGCUCAGCUGUCAACAUAAUGCCAAAGUCGACUAUGUGGCAAUUAGGCAUCUUGAUGGACGAGCUCUCAAAUAGCAAGCUAGUAAUUCAAGGUUUUAACCAAGGUAGCCAAAGAGCAAUAGGCAUGAUACGGUUAGAACUCAAAGGCCAGUGCAUUGUUUCAUGUCAUAGACUCAAGGACUACUUACAAGUUGUUACUAGGGCGUCCUUGGAUUCAUGGAAACGGAGUAGUAACUUCAACACUGCAUCAGUGCUUCAAAUUUUAUCAGGACGGUGUAAAGAAGGUUGAAGCCGACUCUAAUCCAUUCUCAGAAGCUGAGUCUCACUUCGCAGAUGCAAAGUUUUAUUCAAAGAAUAAUAAUAUUUUAGAAGUUUUGCCUGCAGAAACCCCUCUUACAAAAGGAGAAGAUAAUUCACAAUGAAAUCACUCGCAACCACAGAACCACAUGAAAGUGCGAGAACCUUUAACUCUGGAAAGGGUGAAGCAUACACUAGCAGCACAAAGGGUAUGAUCUUGAAGGAGAAAAUGCUGCAAACACACCAGUUUUGCGUUAUGUCCCUCUGUCAAGGCGCAAGAAAGGCGAAUCACCAUUCAUGGAGUCUCCAAAAGGUUUGAAAGUUGGUGACAUCGAAAUCAUAAAAGAAAGCUUCACUACACCACUAACUAAGAUAGCGAAGCAAGAGGUAAAGGUAGAUCUGGUGGAAGCAAACUUGCCCCAAAGGCGAACGAAAGACGGAUUCGACCCCAAGGCUUACAAAUUGAUGGCGAAAGCAGGUUAUGACUUCACAGCUCACACCGAGUUUAAAAGCUUGGAAAUUCAUGACCGACCUGAGCUCUCCUCAACUCAAAAGAAGCUUCUACGGGAAGGACAUUCUAUACCCGUGUCGAGAAAAGGACUCGGAUACAAGUCGCCAGAACCGAUCCGUAUAACUAAAAAGGGGAAGGAAAAAGUGGUUGACAUCAAUCAUAUAACUAUAGAGGAGGAUGACAAUACUGACGUAAAAGAAGGUGAUAAUCAGAGAAUCUCAGUAUUUGAUCGAAUUAGACCAUCUGUUGCACGUCCCGUAGUAUUUGAAAGGCUAAGCAUGACAGAGGCAGAAAGAGAAAGGCUCCAGUCAGUACCAAACCUUGAGAGACAUUCGGUCUUUCGAAGGCUAACUACGACUCCCAUAAAGGAAGAAAGCACAUGCCAUGCCUUGACAACUACAAGACCAUCAGCCUUUGAAAGGCUAGGUGUGUCUAAAAAGAAAAAUGUACAAGCACCCCGUGCUCCGAUUUUUAAUCAUCUCGGGAUAAAGGAUCACACGACAACAUUGAUUCCAACAUAGAUACAAAGAAGAAGGAACCAAUGUCUCGUGUGAAAGUUUGGCGUCGAAUUAAGCAUACAGAUGUCGAUAAUUAUCGUAGUAAGAAGUUUCCUUGCGAGACAAAGGAAAAUGGAGAAAUUCAUAGCAACGUUCCUUCUCGCAUGAAAAGAAAAACUUUUGUUACUCUCAAUACAAGUCAAGGUUCGUUAAAGGUAAAAAGACAUGAUGUUAUACUAACGAAUCCUGAAAAAGAAGGGUCGGAACAAGGGGAAGUGAAACUUCAUGUCAUCACAUCACCAUUAUUGAGGAAUCAGAGACUGGAACUCAUGAAGAAGACGCAGAAAAUGCCCCACAAAGUUUAGAGGAUGGUGGCCAAUCUACUGUAGACGAGCUAAAAGAGGUGAACCUUGGUACAAUAGAGGAACCACGUCCGACUUUCAUUAGUGCGUCCCUCUCUAACGAAGAGGUGGAUAAAUAUAUGAGUUUGCUCACCGAAUACAGGGACAUCUUUGCGUGGUCGUACAAGGAGAUGCCAGGACUUGACCCAAAAGUAGCAGUCCAUCAUCUUGCAAUUAAACCGGAUAUCGACCGAUUAAACAAGCACAACGACGUUUUCGACCGGAGCUUAUCCCUCAAAUCGAGGUGGAAGUCAACAAGUUGAUCGAAGCAGGAUUCAUUCGCGAGGUCAAAUAUCCAACGUGGAUAGCAAACAUUGUCCCUGUUAGAAAAAAAAAUGGACAACUUCGCGUUUGUGUAGACUUUCGCGAUCUGAAUAAUGCAUGCCCUAAAGAUGAUUUUCCCUUGCCCAUCACCGAAAUCAUGGUUGAUGCAACUACUGGACACGAGGCGUUGUCGUUUAUGGAUGGGUCGUCUGGAUAUAAUCAAAUACGGAUGGCCCUCUCAGAUGAAGAAAUGACAGCUUUCAGAACUCCAAAGGGAAUAUACUGUUACAAGGUGAUGCCCUUUGGAUUGAAAAAUGCCGGCGCUACUUAUCAACGUGCCAUGCAGAAAGUGUUUGAUGAUAUGUUGCACAGGUAUGUUGAAUGUUAUGUUGAUGAUCUUGUAGUCAAAACAAAGAGACGACAAGACCAUUUGAAGGAUCUAAAAGUCGUGUUUGAUCGCUUGCGAAAAUAUCAGCUAAGGAUGAACCCUCUCAAGUGUGCGUUUGGUGUAACUUCAGGAAAAUUUCUUGGCUUCAUUGUAAGGCAUCGAGGGAUCGAAAUAGACCAGUCCAAGAUUGAUGCCAUUCAGAAGAUGUCAAGACCUAAAAGUUUGCAUGACCUAAGAAGUCUCCAAGGACGACUGGCUUACAUCCGAAGGUUCAUCUCUAACUUGGCCGGUCGGUGUCAACCUUUUCAAAAGUUGAUGAGAAAAGGAGAAAAUUUUGUGUGGGAUGAAGCUUGUCAGAACGCUUUUGAUAGCAUAAAGAAAUACUUGCUUACUCCCCCAGUGCUGGGAGCUCCAGUACCUGACAAACCACUAAUAUUGUACAUUGCUGCACAAGAAAGGUCCUUAGGAGCAUUACUGGCACAAGAAGAGGUAAAGGGAAAGGAGCGUUCUCUCUACUAUCUAAGCAGAACAUUAAUUGGGGCUGAAGUUAACUAUUCUCCUAUCGAAAAGAUGUGUCUUGCACUUUUCUUUGCCAUUGAUAAGUUGAGGCAUUAUAUGCAGGCCUUCACGGUUCAUCUAGUGGCAAAAGCAGACCCUAUAAAGUAUGUUCUAUCCAGGCCAAUCAUCGCUGGACGCUUAGCCAAAUGGGCGGUUCUACUCCAACAAUAUGACAUUGUCUAUAUUCCCCAAAAGGCGAUAAAAGGACAAGCGCUAGCAGACUUUUUAGCAGACCACCCAAUUCCUUCGGAUUGGAAGUUAUGUGAUGACCUACCAGACGAUGAGGUUUUCUUCACAGAAGUUAUGGAACCUUGGACUAUGUACUUCGAUGGUGCAGCUCGAAGAAGUGGUGCGGGGGCAGGCAUUGUCCUCAUUUCUCCUGAGAAGCAUAUGUUGCCUUAUAGCUUUGCACUUUCCGAAUUGUGUUCAAACAAUGUGGCUGAAUAUCAGGCUUUGAUAAUUGGCCUUCAAAUAGCAUUAGAAAUCGGAGUGUCAUUCAUAGAGGUCUAUGGUGAUUCAAAAUUGAUAAUCAAUCAACUCUCGCUUCAAUAUGACGUGAAACAUGAAGACUUGAAGCCAUAUUUUGCUUAUGCUCGAAAAUUGAUGGAAAAGUUUGAUAAUGUGAUGUUAGAACAUGUCCCUAGAGUAGAAAAUAAGAGAGCGGAUGCAUUGGCAAAUUUAGCCACGGCCUUGACCAUGCCAGAUGAUGUAACUCUGAACAUACCACUUUGUCAACGAUGGAUUAUACCCCCAGUUAGGCCUGAAUGUCAGGAAGUGAACAUGGCAACAUCCUAUUUGAUUGAUGAAGAAGAUUGGCGUCAACCCAUCAUAGAGUAUCUUGAACAUGGAAAGCUUCCAAAGGAUUCUCGUCAUAAAAUUGAGAUACGAAGAAGGGCAGCACACUUCAUUUAUUACAAGGGAACUUUAUAUCGCCGUUCUCUUGAAGGGCUCUUCCUUCGAUGUCUCGGAAAGGAAGAUUCGGUAAAAGCUCUAAAGGAAGUACAUGCAGGUGUUUGUGGAGCACAUCAAUCGGGACCAAAGCUUCAAUUCCAGCUAAGAAGAAUGGGCUACUACUGGCCUAAGAUGAUCCAAGAUUCAAUAGACUAUGUGAAGAAGUGUGAGCCUUGUCAAUACCAUGCAAACUUCAUACACCAACCUCCAGAACCUCUUCAUCCAACUGUAGCUUCUUGGCCUUUUGAGGCUUGGGGACUCGAUCUGGUUGGCCCCAUUACACCAAAAUCAUCAGCAGGACAUUCUUAUAUCCUAGCAGCAACAGACUAUUUUUCAAAAUGGGCUGAGGCCAUUUCAUUGAGAGAAGCCAAGAAGGAGAACGGCAGACUUUAUUCGAACACACAUCAUCUAUCGAUACGGUAUUCCACAUCGAAUCGUGACGGAUAAUGGAAAGCAAUUCUCCAAUAGUAUGAUGGACAAGUUAUGUGAAAAAUUCAAAUUCAAGCAAUAUAAGUCAUCCAUGUACAACGCAGCUGCGAAUGGACUAGCAGAAGCAUUCAACAAAACAUUGUGUAAUCUUUUAAAGAAAAUUGUCUCCAAGUCAAAGAGGGAUUGGCAAGAAAAGAUCGGCGAGGCAUUAUGGGCUUAUCGAACGACUCAUCGCACCCCUACAGGGGUUACACCAUAUUCGCUUGUUUACGGUGUGGAGGCUGUCCUUCCUCUCGAAAGGGAAAUUCCGUCACUAAGAAUGGCAGUACAAGAGGGAUUGACUACCGAAGAUAAUGUGAAGUUACGUCUUCAAGAAUUAGAAGCACUUGACGAAAAGCGAUUAGAGGCUCAGCAAGCAUUGGAAUGUUAUCAAGCGAGAAUGUCCAAAGCUUUUGAUAAACACGUUAAACCUCGCUCCUUUCAAGUCGGUGAUCUAGUGCUUGCCGUAAGGAGACCGAUCAUCACAACAAGGCAUACAGGAAAUAAGUUCACACCUAAAUGGGAUGGACCUUACAUUGUUAAAGAAGUUUAUACAAAUGGCGCAUACAAGAUCGUUGAUCAAGACGGACUACGAAUUGGCCCAAUCAAUGGUAAAUUUCUUAAAAAAUUUUAUGCUUAAUUUUGUUAGGUAAAAAAAAAAAAAAAUUGAACUACGUUAUGACUUGAUCCCUAUGUUAUAAAGGGUACGUAGGCAGCUUAAGGAAAACCUUAAGCCCAGUCCAGCAAAAAAAAAAGUUGAACUACGUUAUGACUUGAUCCCUAUAUUAUAAAGGGUACGUAGGCAGCUUAAGGAAAACCUUAAGCCCAGUCCAGCAAAAAAAAGUUGAACUACGUUAUGACUUGAUCCCUACAUUAUAAAGGGUACGUAGGCAACUUAAAGAAAACUUUAAGUUCAGUCCACCAUUAUAAAAAAAAAAAAAAAAAAAAAAAAAAACCUUGAAAUACGUCGUGAGUUAAUUCUUUUCUUCAAAGGGUGUUCAUCUCUACUAAGGAAUCAUAACAAAUUGGGGGCAAAUCCCUAAAUUCAAGAUGUUCAUCUUUAGUAACAAUGAGAUGAAAUAAAUUGAAGAUGUACAAACUCCGUGCAAAGACUAUGUACAAGUUGAGUGCAUGUAAAAAGAAAAAAAAAAGAAUCUCAAAAUCAAGCUCAAAGGCAUCAUUAAUGAUCCCUCAAAUUCAAGCAUAAAAGUUUCAUUGAUGAUUCCUUAUAUUCAAGUUUGAAGGCUUCAUCGAUGCUGCAGCUCCAGCUCUUUGAGAGGAUAACGAUGGUACAACUUUGAUAGGACGACGAUCGGGCAGCUCUGCCUUCGCCUCUCCAAGAUGAAAACGACAGUGUAACAUCGUUUCUGCCUCUUGAAGAAGAUGCAUGCAAUGCUAAAGCUUUAACCUCUGCUUCAUCUUCAGCUUAUUGCAACCGAAGAGGAUUCAUCUUCAUCUUCUUCUAAGUUUUGCAAUCGAAGAUGAUUCAUCUUCAUCUGCUCUAAGGUGUCGCAAGUGAGAGGAUUCAUCUUUGUCUUCCUCCAUGUGUUACAACCGAGAUGAUUCAUCUUCAUCUUCACCUAGGAGUCGCAAUCAAGAAGAUUCAUUUUCAUCUUCUCUCAGGUGUAACAACCGAAGAUGAUUCAUCUUCAUCUGCUCUAAGGUGUCGCAAGUGAGAGGAUUCAUCUUUGUCUUCUCCUAUGUGUUUCAACCGAGAGGAUUCAUCUUCAUCUCCUCCUAAGAAUUGCAACUGAGAAGAUUCACCUUCAUCUUCUUUCAGGUGUCGCAACCAAAGAAGAUUCAUCUUUAUCUUCUUCCAGGUGCUGCAACCAAAGAGGAUUCAUCUUCAUCUUCUUUCAUAUGUCGUAGUCGGAAGGAUUCACCUUCAUCUUCUUCUAGGUGCUACAAUCAAAGAGGAUUCAUCUUCAUCUUCUCUUAUAUGUCAUAGCUGAGAAGAUUCAUCUUCAUAUUCUUCCAAAUGCUGCAACUGAAGAGAAUUCAUCUUCAUCUCCUCCCAUAUGUCAUAGCCGAGAGGAUUCAUCUUCAUCUUCUUUUAGGAGUUGCAACCAAAGAGGAUUCAUCUUCAUCUUCUCCCAUAUGUCAUAGCCGAAAGGAUUUAUCUUCAUCUUCUCUCAGGUGCUGCAAUUGAAUAGGAUUCAUCUUCAUCUCCUCCCAUAUGUCAUAGUCGAGAGGAUUCAUCUCCUUCCAUAUGUCAUAGCCGAGAGGAUUCAUCUUCAUCUUCUCCUAUAUGUCGUAGCUGAGAGUAUUCAUCUUUAUCAUCUAACAGGUGUCGCAACCCGGCCGAUGGAAUUCAUUUUCAUCAGCUCUAAGUUGUCGCAAGCUAGAUGAUUCAUCUUCAUCUUCUCCCUGGUACCACAACCAAGAAAGAAAAAAAAAAAAAAGAGAAGCAAGAAGAAGAAAGAAGAAAAUGAUGAAGAAGAAAGAAGGAAGAAGAAAGAAAAAAAAAAAGCAAAAAGAAAGAAGAAAAAGAAGAAAAAAACAAAAACAAAAAAGAAAGAAGCAAAGGAAGAAAAAACAAAAAGAUAGAAGAAUAAGAAGAAGAAGAAAAAAAAAAAAACGAAGAAGCUCAAUUGGUGAUAACGAAGAUUGAAGCCCGACGAUGACAGAGUCGAUCUCUCCUACUAGGGCGAUAGAUCUGACGGCAAAAGCCCGAUCGUCCCUAGAAGAAGCUCAACAAAGUCACUUCUGCAAACGAAGAUUGAAGCCCGACGAUGACAGAGUCGAUCUCUCCUACUAGGGCGAUAGAUCUGACGGCAAAAGCCCGAUCGUCCCUAGAAGAAGCUCAACAAAGUCAUUUCUGCAAACGAAGAUCGAAGCCCGACGAUGACAGAGUCGAUCUCUCCUACUAGGGCGAUAGAUCUGACGGCAAAAGCCCGAUCGUCCCUAGAAGAAGCUCAACAAAGUCAUUUCUGCAAACAAAGAUUGAAGCCCGACGAUGACAGAGUCGAUCUCUCCAACUAGGGCGAUAGAUCUGACGGCAAAAGCCCGAUCGUCCCUAGAAGAAGCUCAACAAAGUCAUUUCUGCAAACGAAGAUCGAAGCCCGACGAUGACAGAGUCGAUCUCUCCUACUAGGGCGAUAGAUCUGACGGCAGAAGCCCGAUCGUCCCUAGAAGAAGCUCGACAAAGCUCGACAAAGUCAUUCCUGCAAAAAAAAAAAAAAAAAAAACACACACACACAAAAAAAAAGAAGAGAAAAAAAAAAGAGAAAGGGAGAAGAAAAGUUUUCUAUACCUUUCUGCCGAUUCGAUGAGGAAUAAGCGUUGGAUGAGGUAUAAGUGAGUAGGGUAUGAGUCU
rnacentral:lncRNA from 1 species